UAUUCACAUGCACCAGUUAAGUACUUGGCGAAAAUUACAAACAUGUAACUCAUCAUAAAGCUAGUACUAGGUUACAAUGCCAAAAACGACAGGACCGUGUUCAAGAAGCAAGCAUAGUAAAGAAACAAAAACAACCCUUUAAAUUCAUCAUAAAAUAUAAUUUCAACACGUACAUGAUAAGACCAAUCAAACAUGAAUAGGAGCCAAUAUGCCUUGCAAUUCACUGCAUCAUAAAUGCCACAAUAGAAACCAACACAGAAGAACAUAAGGUCACCCCAGAAACAGACAAAGCAAACCCUGCACCAGUCUCCAUUUGCGAUGUGGGUGCAAUUUCUGAUUGUGCCACAGUUUUGGUCACGUAAAACGUGCUCAAAACCAUUGCUGCAAUAAAAAAAUGAGCUGCACAGUCUCCAAGUUUUGCCAUAUUUCCACAGAAUAUGUUAUGUUACUGUGAAAACGUGACCAAAGAGAUGACUGAAAAGGAUUGAACUGGUUUGGAAUUUUGAGUUGUUCAAUGACACAGUCAAGAGUUGAGUUUAUAUAUAUAGAACUUGUUAGGGGUAUUAGGUAUAUGUUAAAAAAGGCCAUCUGUGUCAAGUUGGUAAGUGGUACAUUAAAUCAUUAACCAUUCUCGAUUACUAUGAUGUCGUUUAGAUUAAGGCUUUUGAGUCCCCACUAGACUAAUUAAAGCUAGUCGAUGCAAGGUGGUAUUGUGUCCUCAAUGAGCUUCUUACGUUACAGUUUCAGGAGAAAUCUGGCACCCAACAUUUAUGAUACACCAGCUAAGAUUGGAUUUCUUAAACUCUGUCUGCAGAAGUUGUCAAUUUUUUUUUCAUUGAAAGAAUAAAAAAUUUAUAAUAACUCAUAAAUUUUGUUGAAUCAAUUAAGAGAAGUUUUCAAUUUGGACAUAUGAUUCCUGAAUAGUCGAUUAAAGGAAAAAAAUUAUUUACCUUGAUUAAAUUAUCUCGUAAAUUUCUUUUUAAAUCAAUGAUGCAUAUUAUAUCUUUAUAUUUUCGUUUUACACAUUGCUCAAUUUAAUUAGAAUAGUUAAAUCCCAAAUGUAAAAGGCGUUAAUAUUUACUUGGCAGGCUAUCUUUUCUUUAAUUAAUUGUAGCUGGUAGGAAAUCAUUUUCGGGCCAGCUUAAGUGCCCUUGACAUAGCAACGAUACCAAGACUUUUAGAGAGGACAAAUCUACGGUGCAAAUACGAUGUCUUUGUUGCUUCAUAAAGAGAAUAGUCUAGAAUUCUAGCUUCAUUUGGCAAUUGAGGAGGAUACAAUAGAGUGAUGGAAAGCAUCACACCAAUCAAGAUUAUUUUUUAUUGACUCUUGAGUACGAGACAUGUGUAGCUAUUUUAGAAAUGUAAGAAAUAUAAAAAGGACGGAACUAAAUCUAGAUCGUUUUGAACGAUGUAUGUCAGACAUCAGAGUCGACGAUAAAUCCAAGUAAUAAAUAUAAUCUGGUGACAAGUAAAUUCAAUUGCUUAUGUUGAAUGUAAUUCGUUUUUCUAAUUGAUUAACCAAAUAGAGAAAUCAAACAGGGACAUUAUUUUGACGUUGAAAUGAGGAUGUGUUUCUCACUUGUGCAACAAAAUAUGUCUGUCCUAAAUCAUUCGCAUUAUACAUUGUUCAUAUAUCAAUGAGCGUAUCAAUAAAGACGUUAGCUAUGUGGUUAUUGCUUCCUUCACUUUCAUUAUUGUUUUUUCUGCGCCUCAUUGCAUUCCGGAGGCACUUUCACUAUUGUUUCUUGUUAUGUCCCAUUGCAUUCCAUAAUUAAAAAGUUUUAGCCUUGCUAUGUCUAUGUCUGAAAUGUUAGAUUGGCUGAGUUCUCAUUUGAUUUUGGGCUUACUCUAGCUUGUUCGGCCUAGUCCGAAACAGGGAUUUGAAUCCUGCACUUCUGUAUCUACAUCCUACACCCCCACCCCAAGCAUCCUUGAAAUUACUUAACUAUCCUUGAUGAGAUAACACCUCUUUCCCCAAAUCUUAACACCUCCCUCCUUCUGAACUCAUUCUACCUUAACAUUGAAUUCCACAAGAGUCCUACUCCCACAAGCUUCCUCGCCUUCUCUCCAUCAUACUAAGCAAUUCUCUUUCAUGAGGGAGCAGCCUUAAUAUUUGUCAACGCCGCAACUGCACACCUCUGGUGGCUCCACAUGAAGUUAUAUCUCCCCUUCUUUUAAGCUUUUAUUUUUGCAAACCAACCAUUCCAGAAGACUAAUAGUGGAAAGUAAAUACAUAAUAGGUAUUCCGGAAGACAUUUUUUGCUUAUGAAAUAGUUAUUUUGGAACACAAAUUACUAAACAUGUUUCUGGAAUGGAUGUUCCAAAAGCAUAUUUUAUAUACUUCGAAAUUCCUAUUCCAUAAGACAAUUUGUGUUCCGAAAUGACUAUUCUGUAAGCAAAAAAGUCUUCUAAAAUACCUAUUCCAGAGUAAUAAAUAAAGGUCUUUCAGCAACAUGUUUGAUGAAGUCGACAUGGAUAUGGAUAAAAAUGUGGAUGAUACAAUUAAAAAUAAAGAUUGCAGCAAACUUUUUACAACUACGAAAGUAAUUUUAUCAUGUUAUUAUUGUGUAAUUAUUUAAUUGUUGAUAUAUUUAAUGCUUAAAAGGUGAACUUUGACUAAAAUAUAUUGUAUGUUGUUUAUGUAGAUUUUUCAUACUCAAGAUGAGUCAUUGAAAUAAGCUCGAACAAUUGCAUUUGAGUUGAAUUUUGUUUCGAAAUACAUGUUCCAGAACACCUAUUCCAAAUCUAAAGACCUUCCUUACUAGAACGCAACCCGCCACCAAAACCAAAACCCAACCCCUCACUAGAAACCAAAAGAAACAAAAGGAACUUACCUUGAAUGGCUACAUGCAAAGGAAGGAGGGUGCACGAAGAGUCGCAACAAGGAGGGUGCACGAAGAGUCGCAACAAGGAGGGUGCAAGCAAAACAAGGUGACACAGGAGAAGGAAGAGAUUCAUCGUGGGAAGAACAACAACCUUCACGGGAGGGAGACGCACCGUCACGUGAGCUACCGUCAUGGGUAGGAGGGGCAUCACGGGGAAAGGGUGUUAGUGUAUAUGAUUUAUGAAGAAAGGAGGAGUUAGGGUUGGAAAUGUGUUAUCUCAUUAAGGAUAAUUUAGUAAUUUUAAGAUGUUUGGGGGUGUAAGAUACAAAUAUGGAAAUGUAGGAUUCAAAUCCCUCUAGAACAAUAUCCAUCCCAAAAGAAAUCUAUUAGAUUUUUCUAGUCUUAUAGCAAUGCUUAUAAAAACACUAGUUAAAAAUUAAAAAUUUAAAACUUAAUGCUAAAUAUUUGCUUAAUACUAGGUAAAUCAAUAACAAAAUUGUCAAAUGAAAUGGUUAUCUUUAUAAUUCAACCUUCUUUUUUUCUGUCUUUUAAAGGUUGUUAUGUACUCAUUUCGUCUUUAAUCAUAAGACCAUUUCAACUAACUCACCUUCCUUAAGAAAAAUAGUUAAUUUAAUUAAUAACAUUAAACCUAUCAAUUAUUUGUAUCAUCUUUCCAAAGUUACCUUUUUCUUAUCUUUCUAUUCACUUAAUUACUUCUCAUUAAUGUUUGGAGAGAGAAUAAUUAAGUAAGGAUAUAUAGGGGAAAAUAAUUAAUGCAUUUAGAAAUUAGAAAAAAGAUAUUAUAAAAAGGGACAAACAAAUUUUAAAAAAAGGGCUUAUAGUUAGGGACAGAGGGAGUAAAAACUACAAAAUGCAAUAAAUUUUCUUGAUUCUAAUAAAAUAAUUGUGGAAUUUUCUAUAUUAUUAUUUUUCUUUCCACUUCACAAUAAAUAUAUGUGUAAAUCAAUUAAAGAUUAGAAGAUAAGAGUAUAAUUGAUAAAAGAGAAAUUAUAAUAUGAUCUUGAACUUUGCAAAUGAUAGAUAAAUGAGUAUUUUUUUUUCAGAAAUUUGACAAUUAAAAGGAACAAAAAGAAUAUAUCAUUCUUUAUUCUAAUUAAUAUCAAUAAUUGUAAUUAAUGAAAUUUCAUCUUUUUUUUUAGUGGAAAAUUCCAUCUUUAAUCAAACACUAUAAAUUUUGUUUUAUUUUUCAUUAGAAGUUCGUACUAACUUGUUAAUAUAUUAAAUUUGUUCCUUUAAGCACACCCUCUAAUAACUAAAAAUGGUAUAGAAAAAUAGGAACGAGAAGAACAAGAAAUAAUAAGCAUACAAUUAGCAACAGCUAUUAUAAUCUCAAUUUGUGUGGGCAUAUGAAUGGGUUCUUGGUUAAUUACAACAUUCUCUAAGCAAAACAUGAGGUUGACAGACCUUAUGUUCCUGAGUACAACACGUAUGAGAUUGACAAACCUUAUGUCCCUAAGUACAACACGUACGAUGUAUAUGAGACAAAACCAAUGAAGCAAACCCUGAAACCAUGCAAGACCAUGCAUUCACGACCGUUUCGCAAGCUAAGAAAAUAGUGGCAUUGUCCCAAAAUAACUCAAACCCCGUUCAUUUAAAGGCCAUGAAAGAGCCCCCGUUGCACGUCAGACCUGCAAGCAAAGACAAUUAAUAAAACAACACACACUUGUAUCAUCAGCACACCUGCGGGUCUCCAAAACAAGUCACACUUUACUCAUCAUGGACAUGAAGAAGAUCACUUGCGCUCUUCUCAUUGCCGCCACCUCCGUGAGCGCCGCGGUGGCUGCCACCGAGGUUCCAGCCUCGGCCCCUGGCCCCGGCCCAAGCAGCGGAGCCUCAGCUCCCCUUGUUGGCUCCUUGAUUGGUGCCUCUGUCUUGUCUUUCUUUGCCUUGUUCCAGUAAGAGUCACAUAUAUGGCAAGACACUGAUGGAAGAAGACUUUAUACGUAUAUGGAAUAAUAAAGGGUGCUGCAGGGAAUAAUUAAUGAAGAAAAUUGCUAUAAAUGUAUAUGUAUUAUAUAUUGUUAUGAUAAUUUUUUAAUGAAAUACUAAUUUGUUUCGUAAUUUUAUUUUAUCUUCUUUUCUUGUGUACAAAUGCUUUCCUUUCUUAUGCAUCUUAAUUACGUAUAGUUCAAUAGCCUAGAACAUAUAUAGUCUAGCAGCUCAAGAUUCAGAAAGAAACAUGCAGAUUGCAGAGAAAUCAGAAUAUGUUUCCACUUCCAGCCACAUAUGCAUCAAUCAUCAUGAAAUAAACAUAUCAUCACCAUAAAAUAUAACCACUGAUUAUAAUUUUCCAAUCACUGCUAAACAAAUUAAAAAAAUAAAAAUAAAAAAUAAAUAUUCAGAAAGUGAACUCGUUCAAUGUCGCUAAUGAGUAAUGGCAUUACAGUUACAUUAGAUGUUUACUCUUUACUAAACAGUAUUUUGUUCUGAAUGAACGAUCUUUCAUAUUAGGAAGAGAGUAAUACGAGCUCAUUUUACAUCAUCAAAAUGGUAUAUUAGAUCAUGGAAACCGAUUCUAUCAAUAAUAUGCAAAAUCAAACCAUGUCUUUCUAUGCAAUGCGAUAGUUUUAGAGCAGGCUACUCCAUAGUUAGUAGUUGCCAUUGAUAAUUACAAAUUACAAUCAUAAUGUAAAAUCUGUUUGUAUUUGGUUACCAGAUAAUUAGUAGUUUUAGUACAUGCUACUCCAUAGUUAGUAGUUGCCAUCAAUAAUCUGUUUUUAGUUGCCAUAGUUAGUAGAUUGCUAGCAUUUUUCCUCAAUUUUUUUAUAUGGUCGUGAAAAUUUCGUUGUCCAAAUUAUUCAAAGAAUAGGGAAUGAUUGCAGCAUGAUACCAGAUAACUGCAAGUGUUGAGCAGAAAUCGACGUUAAUAUGGUCAUGAAUGCCAUCUAACAAAUAAACCAAAUAUAUAAAACAUCGAGCUCCAAGUGCAUGGUUAUUUUUUAGUUCGUAAAAGGGGAAGCAAAAAAAUUUACACAAUCAAUGACCCAUACACUGCUGGAAAACAAGCACAAAUGACUAUCCAACCUAACAAGAAUAAUUUAAUUCAUUUACUAUAACCAUUUAACACACCAAGAAAGAACAUGUGGCAUGCUAUCUUCCAGUCUCCAAUCUUCAACCAAGCAACAAAUCUCGAAAGGAACAAACUCAUGUGACAUUUGAAAUGCACAUUUCUUACAACAAUGUAUAGAUUUAUGACCAGACCUUAGGUUUCAGGAUUAAACUUUUGGGAAGAUAUGAGGCUUUUUGCUAGCCAUAUUGCUGUUUCUCUUGAUGAGACAGCUUCUUUCCCAAAUGGUCUUAGCACCCCAGCAAGCUCUUCGAGUUUAUCUUGCUUGAGUAGCUGAGCACAUAAUUCGAGCAGAGAUUCCAGAGCAUCAGCUCUUUGCUGGCAGGGACUAUCCAACGGAGUCUUGAUUGUUUCAUCACCAUCUACUUCAGUUAUUACACUCAAUGAAAUGCCACUCGGUGCCUGAUCAACCUCCACUACAUUAUCAUCUUUAUGCGUGGAGCAAAGAAUGUGUCCGUUUGCUAUGUCAUCAUCCUUAACUGGAAGUGCAUCAUUACUAACAGACAUUAAGCAGUUCAUAUGAGGGACCUCUGUAUAUACAUCAGGGUUUUCACUUUUCUUCAAGCGGUUUCCAGAUUCAGUGUCAUUUUCAACCCUAAUAGGAUGUACAAUAAGUGAUGACCUUUCCUCAUUGAUGGACUUAUCUUUAUCAGUGCUGCUACUGCCUUCACUGGACAUUGUUGAUUUACCAGAGUCCUCAAGGUUUGAAUCUUCCCUCUGUGCUUCAGCAUUAUCCAAACCUCCAUUGCAAGAAGCAUCUUCAACUUCUGCAGUCACCGCAUUUAUGUCGUCGUCUUCUAAUUUAUGAAAAUGUUUAGCAGCAAAUCUUUGUUCUUCAUGCAGAGAAUCUUGUGUACUCUUUGAAGAGAUCUCAUUGUUAGUCAUUUCCCUUGCAGGUCUACUUUUAAAGUCCUCCUUGCACACACUGCAAAUAGUUGAUUCAGAUGUUGUUGACCCAUCUUUUGAGCCACUAAUACUAGUAGAAGAUUCAACUAUGUAGCUGGUAAGAUUAGCCAUCCUGGUCUCAAGAUUGUCUUCUGCACUGGUUGAAAUUGUUACCACAUCAUUAGGAAGAUUGCUUAUCUGUAUAUCUGCAUUUCCCUCAAUUGGAUGAAUCCGUUCCAAACAAUUUACUAAACCUGCUUCUUUGUCCUUAUGGUCCUUGCCACCACUAGAUUUAUUAGGUCUUCUUGCUUUAUCCUUUGGAUUAACUAGGGGAUAUACAGGAAGAACAUUAGAUGAUGCAUUAUGACAGCGUAGAACAUAAGGUUGUAAAAGCGGAUGCCUUAACAAUUCAGCUGCCUGUCAAUGAAGAGAAGCAUUGUUAGAAUCCACCAUUCCAUCCAAAUUAAUCACAAAAGACAGGUUCAGUUGAACUCACGGUUGGCCUAUGUUCUGGGUUUUUCCUAAGCAUGCUCUUGAUAAGUUGUUUCCUGUCACACAUUUGCCAUCUUUCAGUUUUAUCAUUAUACGCAAUAUAAAACAUAAGAUGAAAGAAGGGGAAAAUAUACGAUUGCAAGUGCAAAAUUUACAGGGGAAUUUUGCUUGACUUCAAUAUAGUUGUAUUCACUUUGAGGAAAAAUACUUGAAUCACCAAAAACACAGGUUAAAAAUAUAUCAUGACAAUAGAGUGACUGCAAUUGGUUUGAGGAAGUUACUUACAGUGUGGAAGAAUAAACAAUUGGCAGUGGAGAAAUGGAGGAUCUGUUUAUUUUAUUGAUAAGUCCAGCCAUGUCCUGUUUUAGUCAUUCACUCGUGUUAAAUUAUUUUGCUGGUUUAAAUAUAUAUUGAAGAAUAGAUAUUAUGUUUCCAUUUAUAAAACUAAAUUCCUGCAGAUGGUUAAAGUUCUUACUGGAGCACGAAAAGCUGGUUGAUGUGCAGCAAUCUCAAACAUGCAGCAACCUUUACAUACAAAGAGAUUUCAUUCUUAAACAAGGUUUGAUACCAUAUAGCUUUGUCAAUUAGAAUAAGGUAUCCAUGAACCUUACCAAGAGACCACAUAUCAGAUUUAUACCCAUAAGGUAUAUCAGCGAGGAGCUCAGGACACAUGUAAUUUGGAGUUCCAACAACCUAGACAAGAUAUAAGAAGUAUGCAAAUAAAAAACAACAUAUCACUGUGUGAAUUUAUUUAAGUAUCAUUAACUUUAGCAAUAAGAAGUUCAAAGCAAAAAAUAUAAAUAUAUAGGCAGAAAUUUAUUUUUUUGGGCUGAACCAGGGUAUGUCUCAGCCAAGAGUUAAAGAUUAAUUCCUUAAGAUAAUGAGAUCCAUUUAAUUAUUUAAGCUGAGAAGCGUCAAUUACUGGGCAUGACAGUCCAUUACCAUGGGACAAAAAUACAGGUAACUUACUAGAAGGAGGCAUUAGAUAAAAGCUAACAUAGCACGCAUGUAUCCAUACCGAGGAAGCAAGGUCUUCUGCAUUAAGUCGCUUUGCAAGACCAAAGUCACCUGUAAGGUUCAUGCAAUAAAUAUAUUUCUUCAGAUAACAUAGUUUAUGAAAGCCUAAGUUUGAGCUUUCAAGGAAUAAAUACUACAUACCAAGCCGAAUGUUGUUGUCUUUGGUGAGGAAUAUGUUGGAACACUGAAAUACAUGAAGUUGCAUUAAUGUAAACAUCACAAAGGAUUUCUUAAACAAUAAAAGCGAAUAUGCAAUACCUUAAGAUCUCUGUGGAUCACACGAUUGGAAUGCAAGUAGUCCACAGCUAUCAACAACUGAGUCAGCCAUUUGCAGACCUUCUGCAGGAGGAAUUGGUGAUUCAGAGUGGGUAAGGAAUACUCAUACGAGGAAUUACGAGGAAGAGCAGAUUAACCAUAUUAGUUACCUCCUCAGGAAAAAAUGACCCUCGGGCUUUCUUUAUGUUCUCUGCCCUGCUCCACAAAGAAUGCAGGAUUCCAUGAUUAGGACUUCAUGUCACUGUUUGUAUUUCAUCCUAUAUAGCAUUUUUUUUAUCAUAUCCUAUUUAGCUAUAAAUGCAUGCAUGUAGACUAUCUUAUAUAAAAUACAAGACCCGCAGAAUCCCAAUUACAGUCUAAGUGUAUUUCAUCUCAAAAUUAAACUGCAAUGAAGAAUAUGAAUGUCAUGCAAAGAACAUACAAAUAGAUAUAUUAAACUUCUAUAUGGAAAGGAUACUACGGAUAUUGCAAAAAUUCAACACCAAUCAACAAGGACCCCUUCCAGAUCUCCAUAAUAUGUAUUACUUACAAAGCAUGUUUAUGCCAGAGUUUAAAAAAAGGUUCUUGACCCUUUUCUGACACCUUAAUCUUUUAGGCCAAGGAUCUGUUAUACAUCAGAAUUAGAUUGUGUAGACUAAAAUUCAAUACUUGUCAUCCAUCUUAUAAUUAAAAAUCAAUAUAAUAGCUUGAUUAUCCCAUAGAAAAAAUUCAGCAUAAAGUUUUGGGUAGUUUCAAUCCAAGAUAGCAAUUUUUAUAAUGUCCACAUUACAAGUCCAGUAGGUCUUCACAUAAAAUAAUGUGUAAGGAGUUAUGAGAAUCAUUCUUUUAUACUUAUUUAAUAGCUUACACUUUUGGUUUAACAAUUUGAAUGUAUAUAUUUAAUAAAUAUUUCCUUUUCUCCCGACAUUAAUUGAAAAACAAUAAGCUCAGAUCCUUAAUUUAUGCAAGAAAGAACCAGUGUUACUAACAGAUAUUGCUUUACUUACAUGUCACCUCCUUCACAAUAGCCGGUUAUAAUGCAUAUGUGGUCCUCCUACAAAAUAUAAAAUAUCAGAAACAUGCCUAUGAAGUGUGCUAAACAUCAGAAUAAGCUGAUAUGUCUAAUAAAAUUCAAACUUAUUUUUUCAUCUCUAUAUAAAUGAAUGACUGAAAUUUAAAAUUAAGAAGAAAAAAAUGUCUGUACCUUCUCCACCCAAGCAUCUUUGUAGUCCACAAUAUAUGGGUUAUUCAGUUUUGCAAUCAGGUUCAUCUGUAAUGGAAAGAGGAACUGAGUCACUUUCAUGUGGGUAGACAGAAAAUAAUCAUUUGAAAUCAGCUUCACACAACCUCUUAGGACUGAAGUCCAUGAAAUCAUUAUUAAGAAUACUGUUUUUUUUUUUUAAAGGCAAAUAUAUUAUGAAUACACACUCAUAUCUACAGAAAACCAAUAUUAAGAUGGCACUUGGCUCAAAAAUGAAAAUGACAUGUCUUAUGGUGUUUAUAGCAUUUAGUGAGCAUAAUAACAUUGACAAAACAAAUAUCCUCUUCUCUGGAAGUUUGAUCAACACUUGAGACAACAGUAAUGAGCAGCAUAUCACCUACCAGAUUUCAUCAAUGAAAUUAAUUCAAUGCAAAUUUACUAAAGUCAUUGUCUUUGUUUCUGCAGUGGAGAUUCAAUUACAUUAUUCAACUAGAUAUCCAGAUGACAGGUUUAUUUGUAGUACAAAAGAAGCAUAGCCAACAAUGGCAUAUUCCUAGAUCAUCAUGAAAGAGAAAUAUAAAGAUAUUGAAAAGCACAAACAAAUAGUUAAGUUGGGCUGAUUCAUGCCAUGCAAAAAAAAAAAAAAAAAAAUAUAUAUAUAUAUAUAUAUAUAUAUAUAUAUUAAAACAAAAGAUAAAUAAAUAUUUGCAUGAUUGACACUUAGGAUUCCUCAGGUCGAAGGAUUUGUUACACCAACCUCUUGGUGUGCUGUACGUUUGAACUUCUCUGUCUGUUUGGCCAACCUAAUCUUUUUCAGCACAUACCUACCGAGGAUAUGAAAUUAUGAGAAUGAGUAACAAUCGAAGUUGACAAGCUAACUCUACUCAAUUAUCUGGAUUUUCAACUCCAACAAUUAAACACCACCAUCUCAAAAUAGAAAGGGAAAAAAAAUCACAAAUUUUCAAACUUUCUCUCUCGGAUUGUCCAUCAUUUAACAGAAAAAAAAAAAAAAAAAAAACAAUAUCCAACCAUCCAUGUUCUACAGUUCACCAGGAAAAUAAUUGAACCUGAAAAGCUAACUAGUAACUACCAUGAAAGGUUUCAGGCCUCAACUCCAACAAUUGAACACAAUAAUCCAGAAGAAAAAAAAUUAUUUUUUCCUCAUGGGGUUGUCCAUUUUCUCACUGGAAAAACAAAUGGAUCUUCUAUCGGUUAAGGGAAAUAGUUAAAGGUGCCAUUGACUCACCUCUUUUUCUCGGACUUGUGAAGAACGAGGAAGGCAGAGCCAAAAGCUCCUCUUCCAAUUUGCUCUAUGACUUCAUACUCUUCCAUCUUUUUGGACCUGGUGUCACCGUUCUCUGUCUCCAUGGAAAAUUCCAGAGGCUAGAAGACAAAAGGUGAAGAAGCACUGAAGCAGCAGAUCCUGAUUUGCUACUACAAACUCAGAAGUGUAAAAGAAAGAGAAAAAAUAGAUACUUUAUGGCAAAGUAUGUGUGAGUUUGAAUUCUACUACCAACCCUCUCUACCCUUUUUUUCAUCCAAAUGCUGUAAUUGAAGACACACGCUGUAGGCUGAAGGGCAUUAAUUGGGUAUAGCAAAUGUAUCCUAAGAGAAUGAAUUUUGGGGACUAUUCAAUGGGUUGCAGCAACCAUAUGAAGCGUCUUCACAUGAAAGAUGAGUAAAGCUACAUUCCACAAUUAUGACACUAAACUACCUCGUCUGAAGACUGAAUUGGAGAGAGAGACAGAGAGACAAGAAAGGGUAGACUCAAGUAAAGUAGAAUAUAUCACCACCAAGAAAAUUGAAAGGUUGAUGACUUAACUUACCCAAAAGAAAGUUUGGAGAGAGAGUGGGGGUGGACAACAAGGUCAAGUAAAGGCUAUAUACCAAUGGCAUGGUGUCACAUUUAUAAAUACUUUUUUAUGUUUUAAUUAAAAACAAAUCCUAUGACUCUCUAAAAGAAGUAUUCAGACCAAUAAUUAUAUGUUAUCACUAACAAAAUUGUCACAUUGACAAUACCAUUUACAUACAUGUUUUUGUAGAAUAUUAGUGCUAUUCUUGUCGAUUAGAGUAACCUUAAUUGAAAAACACUUUUAUGUGUUGAUAUUAUUGUUGUAGUGGUGAGUGUAUCAUGGCUACAACCCCACCCCACCCAAUGGCUCAAAAAGAAAAUGGGGUUGGGAGAAAGGGCGUGGAGGACAGAACUUAAAGGGGAAAAAUAUGGUAUGAAAAACUAAAGAAAAAGGAAAAGUCUUGCUUGCGUUUUCAGAUUCAUAGGAGAUCAUUCAAAACAAGGAAUGUUCCCAGCUCGCAGUUGUGAUGUCACACACCGUGUACCUUAAUAAACAAAAUCAUCAAAAUUCAGUCUUGAGCCAAUAGGUGUAUAAAUAUACACUACAAAAAGUAAAAAAUUAAAUAAAUAAAUAAAAGUUGCGUGGGUUUGUGCUGGCCAACCACCCCGGCUGGUCCAGAGGCAUAAUUGUGGUUUAAUUUAACACCUCCAGCAUUCUUAGAGGUCAAGAAUUUUUCUAUUAUUUAAUGUUUGAUGUAAUGAUAUGAUUAGUUUUAAAUUAAGUGUUAAUGGUGAGUGAUAAACAUGUUAAUUUAUGAUAAAAUGAUAGGUCAGCAACUACUUGUUGCAAUUAUGUACAUAUUUGUACAAAUUAGGUGGUAAUCGGGUUUAUUUAACCCUAAGAAAUGUAGUAAUCAUUUCUAAGCAUGAGCUUAACAACUAACAAGUAAAAUUUCAACUGUUAAUUUGGUGAUCAUGAUGUCAAAUCAAAACCUAAUUAGUCUGUUUAACCAACCCGUAAAAGAACGAGGUGCAAUGUCAUUAUUAUAGUAGACCGUAGAUUAUCUGCCACACGAUAUUGCCAUGUAGGUUUUACAACAGUUUAUCACAAGAAAGUCAAUAAUAAUAAGAUCAAAGGGAAAGAAAGCCGCAAGAUUAACAUAGUUAUAAGUUACCCAAAUUAAUUAAAUCCUAGAGAUCCUAAAAUUUGGAGCUGACACAAGAACAAGUAAUGUCGUUGACCCUCACCUGCGUACGGUUUUUUAAGGUAGAACUUAAAAAAAAAAAUAGAUACAAUUUCUUAAUUGCAUGUUGAGUAUUCUCUCAAAAAAAAAAAGUGCAUCCAAGUUAUAUCUUUUCAGAAAUCAAGAAAAAAUUAAGAGAACAAAUUAAGGGGUCAUCCUCCUCUGUUUCCAAUUAUUGCCUUUUUUUCCUUUCCAAGCUAAAUGCUUUCACUCCCAUGAAAUCCUUUAUCCCCAUGCUUUAGUUGUCGGAGACAGUAAAAAGUUAAUAAUGUUACUAUCCACAAGGUGCAACACAAGUGGAUGUGGUUAAUAGCUUAAACCUUAUAAGUAUAAAACAGAAGUUUGAUUCGAGAAUAGAGCAGCACUUGUGUGAAAAAUAAUCGUCCUUUAAUUAAUACUCUACUUCAAGAGAAAAAAAAAGUUGCAAGUAUAUAGAACAGCACAUUGAAUUUUUUUGCAUAUAUUUUAGUUCGGAAGGAAUAGAAGUAUUUUAUCUGGACACCAACCGCUGUUCUCUCAUGUGGUGCUCCGAAUAUUACAAUAACCAUUGUCCCCGCAAAAGCAACCAUGUAGUGUCGGCAGUAAUCAUUCCCUUGUCUUUGCUAUUUACAACUGACCAUGAAAUCCAAAAUUCCAUUCAAAAACCUCUUAAACUUUUGAUUUGAUCGUCAACAUAAUGAGUAUAGGUGAUAUGAAAACAAUAGUGUGCUAUGAACUAGGCGUAGACAAUGACAAUGACAAAGACAUGAUAACUACGACAUAUGGUUGACGAACGAUUCCCGUUUUAAACAGUUUGUGCUUCACAGCCGAAGGCUAUAAAGAACAGUUAUUUUGCUAAACAAAAUUGUAGUUAUAUAUAAAUGUGGAUACAGAUAUGAAUCAUAUGAUACAAGGCAAAGGCCUGUACGGGUUUUAUUUUCAAACAAGACUCUGCCAGGUAUGAUAUAACUUUAUCCUCCAGUUUGUGAAUGACUGUAUAAAGGGUUUCUGUAAGUACAUAAAAACUAGUUUAUGUUGUGUUCAUGCAGUUGAACUGUUACAUCACAUGGCUAUGAUCGUGAUUAGUUACCAGUUUGAAUAGUAAAAUUAUCAUUCUUGCAGAUCUUCUAAAGAAAAAUAGGCCAUUGAUGUGAACGUGAGGAAAACAAAAAAGUGACAUGAGGAAGUAAAUGAAUGCAAAGAAGGUUCUUCUAAAGUGUUCUCUAAAAUAAACAAAUUGUAUCCAUACUUAAGUAAAUUUCAAAAAACCAAAUCUUACACAGUCCUAACACAAGAUUUGCUACAAAAAGAAUUCCUAUACUCCAUAUAGCAUAAUAUGGGAUCAUCGAUCACCCCAACUUCAGACCGGCCAUCUCACUUUAGGCCUGCAUAAUGAAGCUAUUCCCCCCUUUAAUGAAAUUUGUUAAUGCCCUAAGCCAGUUGCCAGCGGUUGUUUUCACUUUUCAAGCCAAAAAAUUGCUAGGCGUUUUCAAGAUAUAGAAAAUGUCACAAAUCUUACAUUUAAAUCUAGUGUCCGUUUGGUUUACUGGCAUUGUCAAUUUCACACACCAUGACACGUUUCAGUGUAAAAUUUGUGAUUGAAAUUAAUUAUAAUCACAUACAAUGAUUUAAAAUCAAUUUUACUCAUUUAAAGCCAGCGGAAACUUAACUGUAAGCAUAUCAGCAUUGGUGCUAAAUAAACAACAAACAUCCAUAUAAAAAAAUUUGGUAAAAGGAUACCAAUCACUUGCCGUCACAGCAAAGAAAUAAAAUGGCUCCAUCUCAGUAAUAACCAGUCACAUCGACUUACAAAUUGAAAACACCCAAGUAGUUCUGCUAAAUACAUCAACAUUUGAUAACUAAAAAACAGGAGCAAACACCAUGUCACAGAAACAAAUUAACUAGACACAUAAUUGUAUAUUUUUACUUUCGCUUUGAUUGCUUCGAGUUUUUAGAGGAUCUACCAGUCUCCAGCUUUCUCCGUGUAGCUUCAAACUCCUCUUCAGAGGGUUCUGGCGUAUCACCACCACCAUAUUUUGAAACUAGAGAUGAGAACAUUAAAUCAAACUGCCCUUUUCUCUCAUUUCGGCGUUGUGCUAUGAUUGCACAUAGAUCUGUCUCUGACUGCUUAUUUGACCUGUAGAAAACAAUGGAUCAUUCUUAAACUACAGCAUAAAUAAUGCAAACCCUGCUUUAUCAACUUACUUUUCCCUCCUCCUCAAAGGAUUUGUGGGCGGUUUGAUUUCAGAUACUUCCUUAGCCCAUUUCUGGUAGGCUUUUUUUGCCUUUAGUUCUCCUACAGAAUAUGGAGAAGAGAAAAUAAAUAAUCAUCAACGAAAAAGUUAAACAACCCAAGAAUGUAAUGGACUCUGUCAUGACUGCUCAUCUUAGCAUGCUGAUUCACAGCACUAAAGCUUAAAAGUAAAGUAAGUGCAUGAUCACCAAUUCUCUUAUUAACUUGCAUUCCCAAUCUAACAAUCGAAACUCAACAUACAACUUUUCCUGCAGAGAAACUUAAAAUCUAGAGCAAAUGUCUGGCUAAAACCUUGGUUAACAAAAUGUAGUUAAUAUCUUUACCUGAAGCUAUAGCCUCAUCGAGAAUAUCCUUGAAUCGGUGUGAAUCAAGUUUAGGAUCUGAACAAAGCAUUGAACAAAAAAGCCUGCAAAGGGAGAUAACUCCUGAUAUCAAGCUCAACCUUUUCAAAUACGGCUCAUGCGCAUCUCAAAUUCACAAUGCUUUCUUACCUAUUCAUGUUACCCUUGCACUUCUUGUACAAAUCAAUCAAAUCAUUUUUCUCUGAGUCAGAUCCCCGAUAGUUUGCUUCAAACUCCUCAAUAUCAGCUUCAGUCACCUGUAGCACAUUUUAAGCACCACAUAAAUGAACACAAAUAUACCACAAUGGAUUAGAAAACAGAAUACCAUAUAUCAUAUAUUAAAACAAAUACCUUCUUGUACAUUGUUCUAAAGAACUCUUGAAGAUUCUGAACAACAUCUCCAGCAAGGUCCUGAUUUUAAAAAAAAAAUGAAGAGUUGUUGUAGAUGUCAAGGACAUGUGGCUAAAGUAUCCUGAAUGCUACCCUUACAGCAUUUAACAUUUUUUAAGUAAUUAUAAGCAUUCAGUAGAGAAAACCUAGCAUCUUUGAAAAAUUCAUUAGUAAGACCCAAGAAUAUUAUAAGAGGAUACUUUCCUCUAAUAACAGUUAUAGAACAUAAGAAUCUCAACUCUAAUUCUUUAAUAUAAUUUUUACACUCACCUUGCAUCCGUCUCAAUCUCAAUUUUGUUUCCUAAUUGCAUAUAUCACUUUGUCUCUCUUUCUUUCAUAUUUCUCCCCUCCCUUCAAGGUGUAUGCACCCUAAUUGGGUGUGAAAGAACCAUUUUUGUAAGGAUAUACUUGGUAUCUAGACAUUUCCAAAUAUGAAUUCAAUUUAUCAUGUUUUCAUUGAUUCGCCAGCAAGAGCAAUAGCCUUGUCUUACUAAAUAAGGUCAACUACAUAAAUCACACAAUAGAAUUAGAGUCUUAUUUGGAAAAAAAAACUUCUCUACAAACACUCAAGGAGAAGAAAUAAAAAGGUAAAUGAAUUCAGCUUUUCCCAGAAGUUAAAGUCAAAUUCAGCUGUUUUUUGUAGAAGUUCUCUCAUCUAAUUUUUCCAAUUUUAACUUAUGGAAGAAAAAAAGAGUCAAUUUUAUCUUGUUAUUUUCUUUUCCUAUAAAUAGUUAAAUACUAAUUGAGAAAUUUAUCCAAUCAAAGCCUAAUCAUCAGCAACAACACAUGAAGAAAAAAAAAAGUGGCACUCACAGCAUCAUCAACACAACCAGUCUGAUCAUAGAGAGCUCGCUUCUCUUCAUCCCCGAGAAUCGAUAUCACUUUUUGCAGUUGCUGGAAUUUCUCCUUAGCUUCCUGCAACAACACAAGAAACUAAUCAAUUACAAGUGUCAACACCUAAAAUAUAUUCUAGUGAAAAGACCAUGAUGGCAUAUUCAGGAGAUAUAAAAGGUUGGUUGGGUGGUUAAGAAGGAGGGAAAGGUUGCGGAUUCGAUCCCUCCUAUUAAAAAAAAAAAAAAAACUAGCAAUUAACAUUUGUCAAUAUAAAAAAUGAUGGCAUAUUCGGCUAGAAGAAUGACCUCAUCAUCACCAGGGUUCUUAUCGGGGUGAAGCCGCAACGCCAACUUGUAGUACGCCUUCUUUAUUUCCUGCUGAGACGCCGUUCUCUCCACGCCAAGAACCUACAACCACUCAACCACCGUCAAACAAAGUCAUAAUAUAUCACAGUAACAACACGCGAAUUGAAUUUGAAUAGUGAAAUAAUCCAUUAUCAAAGGAAAGCGAAAGAAAAAGCAUGAAUUUUUUAGGGUACCUGGUAAAGGCUGGUUUGAUCAUGUUGCACUUCCAUUUCCUCGUCGUCGGAAACCCUAGCUUUCUUCUUCUGCGCCAUUUUCGUUUUGCAGAAAGAGAGUGAUUCCAAUACUCGUUUGGUGGGUUCGUUUGCGCCUCGUGCUUGUUUUAAAUCAACGUUUGCGUUUGAAGUUAAAUUAAACUAAUAUUAACUUUUUUUUAAAAAUAAAAUAAAGUUGGGGUUGUUCCCGCCAUGUGAUUCCGGCUUUACUAUUUUUUCCCGCCUUUGUGUUCUGAUUCACCCUCUACCUACAAAGUAUGGGUACACCCAAUUAUAUUCUGGAAAGCCUAUUUGGGAUUAUCAAGAAAUAAAUGGUAGUAAAUUCAGAUUUCAUAAUAGACUUUUGAGAAUAUAAUUGGAGUUCAAAUAGACUUUUCAGAAUGUAAUCAGAGGUGAAGAACGCAAUAGUAAGAAUGUAAAAAACAAUCUAGUCAAAGUUAAGUGUAAUCACCUUUACAUCUUUCCUUUAAAAAAAAAAUCACAUCUUUAUGUCAUGGUUUUAUUUUUUAUUUAAAUAUCACUUGUUCAAAUUUAAAUUUUUAAGUUAUGUUUGAAUUAGUAGAAAAUAACAAAAAAUUGCCAAGAAAAUGAAAUGACAUUACUAAUCUAAUUUUGUUUGGAUAUUUAAAAACAUUUGAAAUUUAGAACGAGAAAAAUCAAUAAUUCAUUGAUUUAAAUGAUAUUGAACUCGAUCUUUCACAAUAAUUUUUUAGGUUUGAAUCUUGUGGAUGAAAAAAAUAUAUGACAUGUAUUGAUUAUAGUCAUAUGACAUGUAAGAAAGAUGUUCAUAAGAUAACUACCUUGAUUAUUUUCAAAUGGUGUAACAAUAUUAAAAUUACUAUAUGAUUAUGUUAUUCUUACGAGAACAAUCAUCCAAUGUAAACUUUCCAUGGUUUAGCUCUAGCUUUUUUUUUUAGCUAACCAGGGAAAACAAAAUAGAAACUAUAGCUCACUAAGGCUACGACUACAAUAGCAAGGACAGGGGGAAGAAAAUUGAAAACAACUAAAGAGUAUCUUCUUUGAUGACCAAGGUUAGCUUCCAUGUCCACACUUUUGUUGACUUCACAAAGAACGUGAUGAACAUUUGAUGACUAACCCAUCUUUCUCAAGUCAAACUUGAUGCUUUGGAUGAUACUCUUAAGAUAAGGAGGCGUAACUAAAUCACCUUUAACCAAAUUGACUACAACAAGGGAAUCUGACUCAACACAGACAGAGUGUAGGUUCAUGUCUUUAGCCAAGUGAAUACCAAAUUUAAGACCCCGUAACUCAACCAACGGGGCAUUACAAGGAAGGAGUUUCUUAUGGAACCAGGUUGUGACAUCGCCAUUAUCGUCUCUAAUAAAGCCACUACAAGCAGCAAUGCCCGAAGUAGCCUUGUAGGAACCAUCCACAUUGAUUUUAUAAGCUGAAAAUUUUGGGAGCUUCCAAGAAACAACCACAUGAUGAUAACCAUCAUUGUAGUUAGAAGAUGUCCCUUUUGAAUACUCUUUGUGAAUAAACUAGGCUUGGGAAAGAACCUAGUGCAUUGAACCAAAGUCUAAGCUGGAGAUGCCUUGGAAAACAAUUUGGUUCCUAUCAUUCCAUAGAUGGUGGAUUAAAAUACCAGAGAAAGAACUCCAAGUACCCACAAGGGCUUCCAUGUUGUUCCUCCUUAGGUUUAAAUCCAACCAAGCAUAAAGCCCACGGCUGAAGAAUUUGACUUAGUGAUUUUGGUCAAUGAAAAUGGACCAGAACUCCCUCACCUCUUCACAAUCUCUAAGAGUAUGCAUGGAGUCUUUUGCAUAAUUCCCAUAUAUAGGGUAGGUAUUAGAAUCUGACAUUUUCUUGUGCUUCCUUGAGGAAUUUGUAAAGAGUUUAACAUGAAUGAGUCUCCAAAAGAAAACACGGAUACAUUGCGAGCGAUGCCAAUUUGAAACCAAAUUGGAUCUAUAUUUAGACUAAAUAUUUGUUGGGGACUCGCCAUUGGAUAAGAAAGAGUAAGCCUCCCUAAUAGAGAAGUUACCAUCCUUAGAGUCUUUUCCACAAAGGUACAUCUUCCAUACCAGGGAUGGAGGGGGAACAGAGGCAAUUCAAUAGUAAAUAUAAGGGGGAAUAAGGGAGUUUAAAGUAUCUCAACACCAUCAACGAAAAAAUGGCAUCCAAAACCCAAUCCUGCAAAGGGGGCUUUCUAGAAUCCAACUAUCAAUCCAUAAUCUAAUAUUGGUUCCAUCAUUUAGACUUCAAGCCAAAUUAGAAUGGAUAUGGUGCUAAGCAUUUGCAAUAUAUGCUAGAUCUGUGAAGCCUUAAGAGAAUGCUUCAUAUUGGAAUAAUCCUUUAUCCACAACUAUACUUAGCCUAAAGGAUCCUAACCUAAAGGGUACUCAGCUGAUAAAUCAUAGCCCAAACCAUCUUCAAUAUAUAGGCUUCAUUAAGAACUCUAAUAGAUAAAAAACCAAGACCUCCAGACUCCUUAGGCAUACAAAUUGUUUCCCAGAAGACAAGGUGGGCUUUCCAGGACUCCUUAUUACUCCCCAGAUAAAGUCUCUACAAAGUCUUCCAAUGCCAACACAUAUAGCAGUUGGAAUGACAGAGGCUUGCAUGGAAUAUACAGGUAGGUUCAUUAAGAAAGAUUGGGAAAGGGUUAUUCUACUUGCCAUAUAAAGAGAGUGACUUUUCCAGCAUGAAAGCCUUUUCCUUACUUUGUCAACCAGAUGAGAGAAGUGAUGGUAAGCUUCUUUUUUUUAAGCACCAUAAAACCCAAGUAGGUCUUGGAAUCAACUGUGGAUUGAAUGUUAAGCUAGUUAUUAAGGGUAUUAGCGAAGGUAUCAUUAACCCCUUUAGAAAAAAGAUAAAGGAUUUUUGUAAAUUAAUAGUUUGACUUAAGACAUGAGAAAAGAGCUGCAUAAUCUUAUUUAUCUCAUUAUCUUUUUAGAUAUAAGCUUUUGCCACUAAGAUAAGGUCGUCAACAAUGAAGAGAUGGGAGACCUGAUGAGCAUUAGACCUACCAAAUAAUAAAGGCUUUCAUUGGUUUUGUAUAACAUAAUCAUGAAUAAUAUGGGGCAAUCUUUCUAGGUAAAGGAUAAAAAGGAAAAGGGACAAGGGGUCGCCCUGGCGAAGGCAUUUACAGGGGUUGAAGGAAUCAGUUGGACUUUCAUUCCAAUGGAUGGCAAUAUCACUAAAACUAAUGUAGUGAGAGAUAAGAGCAAUCAUCCAAUCCAAAAAACCCAGCUUCCUGAUGGUAUCAAUGGAAAAGUCCCAUCCAAUAUUAUCACAAGCUUUUGAAGAUCCAACUCGAUGAUCAUGUACCCUAGGUUGAAGGAUUUAGCCUGAAAGGAAUGCACCAGUUCAUGGAGGAUAAUGUAGUUGUCAACAAAAUUUUGUCCUUUUAUGAAUCUGGUUUGUAGAGACCUAACAACAUAGGACAUAACGUGCUUGAUGCGGUUGAUGAGCAUUUUGGUGAUAAUUUUGUACACCACAUUGCACAGGGUAAUCGCCUUGAAUUGAGAAAUGGAUGAAGGGUUAGAAAUUUUAGGAUUAAGGUAAGCAGAGUAUGAUUAACAUAACUGAUGAGAUGCGAAUCCAUCUUUGGGCAAUAUAGAUGAAGUGGUAGAUAAUUUUCCCAAUAUGAUUCCAAUGAGAUUUGAAUAAUAAAGGAUGGUAACCAUUCGGCCCAGAAGAUUUUAAGUUUCAUAUAGAGAAAAUGUCAUAUUUAGUUUCUUGAAAGGAGAAGUCAACAUUAAGCAAAGCUAUGUGCUCAUCCAGAAUAAGAGGACAUGAGUGAUUUGGUAUAGAGCACAUUUAUGCAAUGAAAAUCAAAAGUAAAAAAAGGUCCUAAUAAUGGUUACUCACUAUGGCUUUUACAUGAUCAACAUCAUAGACCCAAUGUUGAUUGUCAUCAAUUUUGACCUUCCUUUGCUUAGUGAGAAGAGAUAAAUGGAAAAAUCUAGAGUUUCUAUCUCCCAGAUCAAGCCAUUUUGACCUCAAUAAUUGAUGCCAAUAGGGUUCCCCUUGGCUAGCUAUGAGCUCAUACUUAUUCCAGAGCUUUUGUUGGAGCUCAAUCAACCUGGGAUCAUUUCAAAGCAUGAGGGUAGAUUUGAUGCCCUAUAAUAUAGUUAGAAUCCUUUUUAUUUUUCUUAAAGGUGCUGCCAAUACUAUUAUAGUUCCAAUCCUUCAGAGCCUCAUAAAUUCUAUGAAUGUUCACUCCCCAAGAGUCAUGAUGAUGCCAAUUGUUUUUGGACAACUCCAACAAAUUAUGGAUGGUCCAGCCAAGCCCUAAGGAAUUUGAAGUAAUUAGUUUUGUCUAGCCAAUCCACUAUUCAAUUUAAUCCAUAAACCAUAAUGGUCAGAGGAAGGCAAAUGGAGGUGAUUUAUAACUAUAGAAAUAAAAGAUUUAUGCCAUAAAGGGUUAGCCAACACACGAUCAAGCCUUUAUCUAAGAUCACAUCACUACCAAGUGAAGGGCGAAUUUGAAUCCCAUAUCAAUAAGAUUGGCCUGAUGGAUGCAGUUCCACAAAAGCUUACUAGAAGUGGUGUUCAUCGGGUUAUCUCCAGAUUUCUCAUGCUCAUAGAGCACUGUGUUAAAAAUCACUUGCUAAAGCCCAAGGAUAGGUGAUGCAAGUGUUGAUAUUUAUUAUCUCUUCACAAGCAUGAUGCCUUAGGUGUUGAUAAGGGCUAGCAUCAAUGGUAGUAAGGAAUCAAAGGUUGUUGGAGAGAGGAUUUACCUCCAAAUAGACAUGGAACUUGGAGGAAGUAACCACGUUGAUAGUGACGCGAGAGGCUCUCCAAAGACACUAGAUGCCUUCAGAGAAACCAUCAGCUUUAGCCCAAAAAACAUUGUCUAUACCAAUCUGACUUGGUCAACCAUUAAGCCGUUUAUUCUAGGCUCUAGGAUAACCAUAUAGUCAAGCUUAUAGAUUUUAACAAGAUCACGAACAACACUAGUGAAGGACUUUUUACUUGCACCAUGAGAGUUCCAGAUUUAAAAAUUCAUAAAAAUUUAUGAUAGGGAGCGAGAAUCAAUCCCAAAGGCAACACUUAUCCUCAGAACUGGUCAUCCUCCAUAGUUGCAUCCAAAACAGGUUAGACAAUAUCUAGCUCCACAAUUGGUUCCAUAGAGGCAUCCAUAACAAAUUAUUCAUUAUUGGUUGUGCUAGGGGAUCCUCCAAAAUCAAGUGGCAUUCUAGGCAUAAAAUAUAUGUUAGAACCAUCCUUAACAAGCUCUAAGGGGAGGGGAAGGUGAAAGGAAAAUAAAAUAUCAAGGAGAGAGUCGAGAGUAGGAUUUAGAGGGGGAGCAACGUUGGGGAUGGUGGUCAGUAUCUAAAGAGAUACAUAAGACUAAGGAAUCUAAUGGUUGAUUGAUCUAUAGGGGGAAUAGUUCAAAAGGACAUUUGGGUGAGUGUUUGGGAUUUUAUCGGUACUUUUUCCAUGGUGGGAAUUGGUCUGGGAUGAGGUCAUAAGUUGGUAAGAGGUGAAUUUGGAAGGGUUUAGUUUUUUGGAUGGGGUUUUUUAUUUUCCAAAAGAAUGAGGGUCAGGUUUAAUAGGUUUAGAUUUGGGAGCUUGGUUGGAACUUGAGGGAGAGUCCUAAGUGGUGUUUGGAGUGGCAUCCACAUCAACUGGUGAGGUUUUCACAUCAAUUUCUAGUUCUAGGACCCCAAAUAUGGAUCCUGUCACUCUUGGGUUAGAUGAGUUGUUACCAUGGUGGGUUUAUCUUCCCCAGGAGCCCCUUUUAAUGAUUGUUUUUUAUUGUUUGGGCAAUGGGGAACACCAUUUAGCUUUCUUGACAAGCAUCCAAGGACCAUAAACAAUGUCAUUUUGUUAGAUUUUAUUUGUAUCAAGGUCAUUAUUUCUUGUAGUUAUGGUGGGACCAUUUUAGGGAGGGUUAGAGGUUUUGGUCAAGUCCAUCUGGCUAGGGGUUGAGUCAUUUGUGACAGUAACCUUUUAAGGUUUAUUUGGGCAAAAAAUAAUUUUUAUGUCCAUAUUUUCCACGAUGGAAACAGACUAAAUGAUUCCUCUCAUAAUCUAACUUGAAUUUUCUUCCAAACACCAAAAAGGAUGGAACAAGUUCCUUUCUCAAAUCCAGCUCAACGCAAAUACGAGCGAAUUUAAGUUUAUUGUUCACAAAAAUGUUCUCAUCAAUAUUCAUCAUGUUUCCCAAAAGGUUCCUUACUUUAAUAAGGUAUUGCUUGUUGUAUAGCUCCUUGGGGAGCAUAAGAAUUUGAACCCACAUAGCCACCUUACGAACACAGUGUUCUUUAGGGUUGAAAAAAGGUCUCCAUCUCUGGAUCAAUAAGUAGUGGUAAAAAAAUGAGCCAUGGCCUUUCACAAAAGAGUAAUCAUUUUCAUUGCUGAAUCCAACAAGAAAGAAGUCCUCUUGAAGAUCUAUGGUUUGGAUCGAACCUAACUUACCCCACAUUUUUUGAAGUCUGACAACUAGGAAUUUGAGUGUGAUUUUUUUCCAAGGAGUUUCACUAUGAGCAAGAAUUUCCAUGGUUUACACCAUUUGUUGUAGGCUUCUGUAGAUACCUUGAUGGUUGGUUUCAGGUUAAAGAGGAAAGAGUGCACCUCUUCUCCCUAUUGUGUAAAAGUUUUCUCAUUGGAGUCCAUUUUUGUGUUAAAGAGUCCAUUUUUGUGGAACUACUAGGUAUAGGUAUUUUCAAGGAUGAACCCUAUUGGGGUGUUUCUUCCUCCCCAUCGAUCUUAGCCUUCUUUGUACUAUGUUUCAUUUCACCCAUUUUCCUCUGUGGAAGUGGUGUCCAUACCACUUGGAGUGGAUUACGGUUCGAGAAAGCCAUCAAUAAGGAGUGGUUUAGCUCUAGCUCUACUCUUGCCAGAUACAUCAUCAAAAAAAAUUUCACUCAUCCUAUGAAGUAUAAGAUAUAUAUACAAAUUUUAAUGAUUUUAACAUUCAUAAAUAAAUAUUCAAAUAGUAAUACUUUCCUAAUAUUUUAAACAACAUAUUACACAUUAAAAUGAGGUAAAGUGAUAAAAUAUCAAUAUAUUUUUUUAAUUAUGUAACUUUUUAGAUUAUUGAAUCCAUCAAUUGUAUUAAUAUCUGUUUUUAUAAAAAAAAUAAAAAUAAACUAAUAAUUUUUUUUAUCCAAAUUGACUCAUAAUUUACUAAAAUUUUAUAAACUUAUUAUAUUGUUAAUAAAUAGAGUUUAAUGGUCAUGCAUUAAUAAUAAAAAUACUUUACAUUGUUGUCCAAUUAUAAUUUAUCGUUAAUAUGACAUUUAAAAUAAUUAUCAUAAUAAAUAAUAAACUUAUCAUACAUGAUGAAUUGUGAUUGGAUAAUAAUUUAAAUUUUUUUACACUAUAAAUGUGUAACUCUUAUUCUCUUAUAAAUAAUACAGAUAACUUUGUAUAACUUACUAAUUAUAUUUCACAAUUUAAUAUCUUUUGAUCCUGUUCCAUUAAAAAGUAAUUUUUUAUAUCGAUAAUAAAUAAGUAAAAAAUACAUCAAUAAUAUACAAGUAGUUAUUUAUACACUAAUAUUCAUUCUUAUAAUUAAAAAUAUUGAUAAUUACUUAUAUAUUUAAGUUUGAUUACAGAAAAAAUACUAAAAUGAAAGGAUUAUAAUUUAUUUUUUGCAUCACUUGAGAUUCAAAUAUUAUUUUAAUCAAUAAUAGACUUAUUGAAGUAUAUAUAAAACAGCUAACGUAAAAUAAAAAAUAAGGAACUAUUUAAAAUUUUGGCGGAUGAAAAGACUUGUACAGAUAGCUAGGCCCAAAUCAUUGUAUGAGUACAGCGCACUGAGUUUCAUUUUUGGGUCCGGGUACAUCGUACUGUGGAAGUGUGAUACUGCCUCAAUCAAAAUCUAGGUGGAGUCCAUGUUUUUGUUUGGGGAUUUUCUUCCUGCACCCAACAUUUUCUUCAAUACACCCAUUAAUAAAAGAAAAAAAAGAAAAAAAUACUUUUAUAUAUAACUUAUUAUGGAUUAUCAAUCUGUAAGUCUCAUACGGAUCCGUAAGAGGCUUAUGGAUUACGAAUUGUCAAUAUUAUUUAUAGGUUGUCCAAAAUAAAUAUUGAUUAUGUAUGAUAAAAUUAGCUGAAGAGAUAACUUAAGUUAAAAAGUUAACUAGUAGCUGAAAGUUGAAAUCUGAUAGUUAGAAAUUUUUAAGUUAACUUUAAACCAUAAAUAUUUUAAGGAUAAAGAAGAAAUAAAAUAUAAAAUGUUAGAAACUACUAAAAAAAACUUAUUUAUUGAAUAGUUAAAUACAUUUUUUAGCAAAUAAGAAUGAAUAAUCCAUAAGUCUCAUACGAAUUAUCAAUCCAUAUGAGACUUAAAGACAUAAUUUGUAAGCCUCUUGCAUAUAUGUAGGAGGAUUAUGGAUUGGCAAUCCAUAAAGGAUAAAAUUGAAUUUUUAAAAAAUGUUGGGUGUAAAAAGAAUAAUCCUUUUGUUUGUUACUGUGGGACCCAGUGUGGACCUUCAUUUGAGGGACUUAGUUUUCGGGCCUGAUUGUCUGUGCUUUUCAUAAGAUAUCUAAAUAUUCUUAAAAGCUAAAAUCCAGAAAAUCAUGCUUUAGGUAUGUUUUAAUAAUUUUUAAUAAUUUUUUCUAUAAAAAAUUUAUACGAGAAUGAAAUAAAAUAAAAAAUAAAAAUAUUUUUUUCCCAUAAACUAAAAUUAGUUUAUGUAUAAGUUAAGAAAUAAUUUUUAAAUAAAUCAAUACAAGAUAAUUUUUACAAAUUAACUAAUGAAUAAACUAAUUUUAGUUUAUUAAUUUUUUUAUUUAUUCUAUAAGUGUUUAUGGAGAAAUAGGUGCUUAAUUUUUUUUCUUAACGAGUUAAAAUUAAUUUUAAAAAGGUUUUAAAAAGUAAUGCAAAAGAAGAGGUAAAAUAUUAGUCUGAUUAUUUCAAAAUGAUUUUGAGAUUUUUUAAAAAAAGUAUUUUUUAGGACUAUUAAUGUCAAAACAUUAUAUUAAACAUUCUACUAAUGUAGAUUGAGUCGAAUGAUACCAUUUUUGGGUACAAAUAGGUCUCAGAUUAUCAUUUUUACCAACAAUAAAACUGGAAUAUUUUAUUUUAUUUUCGAAUUACACAGAAAAACUAAUAAAUGCUAAUUUCGUAAUUAAUGAAAGAUUGUCUCGUGAUUUAUUGAUAUAGUGAUUUACGUGUGAGUUGAAGUCCUUUAUGAGCCUGUCAUUUCCUAUUAACUAGAUAUAGACCCGUAUGUAUAUUUCAUCUCUGUUUUUUAAAAUAAAAAAAUUAAUAAUAAUAAAUUUUAUUAAAAUUAAGAAAAUACAGAUAACUAUUCUUUUUAUUUAGAAUUUGUUGUAAAUUUAAAUUUGAUAUGGUAAUAUUCUUUAUAAACUAUUCUUUAUAUAUAUCUUUCUUACAAUUGAGGUAUCAACACUAAAUUCCACAAUUCAAUUUUUAUACAUUAUAAUAAAAAUAUCAUCCUUUACCAUGAUUGAAUUUUGCAAAAGAACAACAUCUUAUUUAUCUUCCUUAUGAGUGUUUUUCUUUUAUUAGUGGCAAAGUAAAAAAAAAACAAAGGCUUGGUAAACAAAGUCCCUACAACAUCUGCUAACAAAAGAGAGCAUAGUUGCGGUGGACAAGAACGCAGCAUCACAAGCUAUUGUUGAUUAUUAGCAUCAGUCUUGAAUAGCUAAUCCACACAAAAGUUGUCGUCCCUAAGCAUAUGCUGAAAGCUCUAUUAAGUAAUAAAGUUAACUACGGAGGCAUAGGGAUGGUGAACAGAAGUUCCCUCGUUAAUAAGCUUCGAGAUCACUGUCAAUCAAUUGACAGAUGCACCAAAUCCAACAAGCAUUGAAAUGGUAAGAUUAACUAUUGUGUUCAUAAGAAUUUUAUUUGUGUAAAAUCAUUUUUUAAGCAAUUGAAUAAGAUAAGUUGAUAGAGUUUUAACUAAAGGUACGAAAAUUUAAAGACUAUAAACUACAAACAAUGUAAAAAUAAAGCAAAUUUCACAUGAACAAAAGAUCAAAAAUUGUAAACAAUGAUUAAAUGUCAUAUUUGGGGAUAAUGUUGAUAAUAAAUCAACAUCUCGAUGAUAAAGAAUGUUUUUUUCUAUUUAAUGAAAUUCAUAUAUCAGCUCCACUUCUUGUCAUCUUCUAACAUUGAUCUCUCAAUUGCUAGAAGUUAAAACACUUGAUCUUAAUUCUAAUUCCUUGCAAAUGCAAAUAAAUAAUUUAGUAUGAGUAGAAGUCUUUAAGAGACUAACAAGUAUCCUUCUAUUCCUAUAAAAGACAUCCAUUAGUUAUCAUUCUCAAACUCAGUUUUCAAAGCAUUUUCUAAUAACAAAGAACACUAAAAGAUAAGCAUAUGAUUGAUCAAUUCACAGACUAGCAUUAAAAUAGAGAAAUGAAGAUAACAUAGAACAUUCAUAAAAUAUAUAGUUAAGAUGAUCACAUGAAAGUUAUUAGUACAUCAAUCCCCAACUAUGGGAAGAAAACUAGCCUCUCAUGUUUCUCAUUAACAUGAGAGGAAGGUAGAUGAUUACAAGAGAAGAGAUGAAGAAAAAUGGAGAAUCCAAUAGCACAGUGUUGUUUGCUCUACACCAAGCCCUAAGUCGAUCUCUCUCAAUCCCAAGUGAAUGUGGCUUUUAUAAUGGGCCUAAGGCCUCUUUCUUGUCACUUCAUUGAACACACUGCUGGCUGGGCAAACAUAACUCGCUGGAUGAAUUCUUUGUGAAAUCCAAAAGACACUUCCUAACUGGGUUUGUUCGCUGGUUGAGCCCAACUUAUUGAGUGAGUUAUUCAAAAUUUUCAAACUAAAUUGAAAAUUCUUUCAACCAAAAGGAUUUGCUCCUUGAGAUAAUGACAUGGCUUUCUUGUUCCACUCCAAAGCUACCACGUGUGGUAGCUUCUUCUAAGGGCGAGCAUUUCUUUCCGUGACAGCUUUCCUUCCUCUCUUGUUGUCCUAAAAGUGAUAAAAACAUACUAAAAACUAAUAAUUGGUUAAAAUUUUAUUUACAAAACUAUAAUUCUAUAAAAGCACUAAAUUCUAACUAUUUGAAAUGAAACUAAGAAAAAAAAAUAAUAAUUAUGUGAAAUAAAUGCCAAAAGUAAUAAUUUACAACAAUUAUCAAUCACCAUAGAAUCAAUUUCAUAAAUAAUAGUAUGGCAAAUGAUUGAAUCCCAGUCUACAAAAAAGAUUGCCAAAAUUUGAGUAUCAUUAUAUGAGAAAAUAUUUAGUAAUUGUAUUUGCCUUCAAUUUGCAACAAUUACUUGUUAGUUUUGUAUUUCUUCUUAUUAAGUGAAGAGAUCAUGUUUAUUUAAUCUCUUUAAUCAAAAUUAGUAAGGUGCAUAAAAUCUAGGUUAUUUAGUUCUCUAAUAAUAUUUUAGAUUUAAUUUGGUUAUUUAAUUUUUUAUAUCGAUUUAAUUUGAUCCUUCAAUUUAAAUUGUAAGAAAUCAUACUUUGUAUCGAUUUAAAAUCAUCACAAAAUGCAUAUUUUUUUAAAAAAUGAAUCCAUUUAAAGAAAAGACCAAAUUAAACCAAUUUUAAAAAUUAGAGAUCCAAAUUAAAUUCAAAAAAUUAAAGAAUCAAAUUAAACUUAAAUAAUGAAUCCAUUUAAACAAUUAAAAUAUCAAAUUGAAAAUAAAUAAAUAAAUAAAGAACCAAAUUGAAUCAACUUUAAAAAUUAAAGACCCAAAUUAAAUAAAAUAAAAAAUAAAAAACCAAAUUAAACCUAAAUAAUAAAUUAGAAAAAAAUUAAUUUAACCCAAAAUCUACUUAAAGUGAAGUUUGUAACUCCUAUCACACAUUACACAUAAAUGUCCAUCUUAUAUCAUAAAUAUUUUACUAUAAACUUUAUCGAGGUGACUUUCACUAUAUUUUUUUUAUUACAUUCAUGAAAAUAAAAAAAAUAAAAACAAGAAUAUGACAAUUAUCUUAAAUUAAAAUUAAAAUAUUUCAUCAGUUUAUUUAUCUUCAAAUUAAACUUAUUUUUAUAGUUUUACAUAUUUUCUUUUUCCAGAGGAAUUGUUAAUUCAACUUUUUAUAAACAAAAUUAUAUCGUACAAUUUCAAAAUAAACUUUACUCAAGUUGUUCCACUGAGUAUUCAAAUCAAUUAGCGUGGAACUGUUUUUUCUUAAUGGGUGGUUUUGGAUUUGAGUCUAUAAAGGCAAUGGAUGCCUGGAUGGGUAUGUGAUUCAUUGUGCGUGUCCUGCCUCCCAAAAUCUAUCAUCAUCCUUGAUGGUAUGGUUUUUGGUUUCCUAUCCUCAUUUUUGGUGAUAUCAUAUAUACUUGUACUCUCUUUAUAAUUUUAAAAAAUAAAAUAACAUCAAAAAUUAAUUUGAAGAAAAAAAUGAAACAACUACAUCUGAUUUUCUAUAAAAUAGCGUCAUUAUAUAUAUCCAAGAAAAAAAGAUUUUAUCAUUCCAUCAUAUGCAUAUUCAAUCACAAACUUCUAGUUCUAUCACCAAAAUGAACGUGAAAAUCAAUCAUGGUUUGAUAGUUUACUAAUUAUUGUACUAAAAAUUUGAGAAUGACAUGAGUAUGUGAUUCACUUACAAAGACAAACAAUAACAUUAAGUAAUAUAUGUUACAUAAAAUAGAGAUAAUUUAGUUAUUACACAUAUUAGACGUAAGAACGAGAUAAAUAUGUGUAUACUCAUCGUCAUCCUUGUAUCUAAAAAUUGAGCAUUACAUGUAUCCUUACCCAUCCCUAGUCAAAGAGGGGGUUCCUUGUAAACGCAGGACGAGGUGGUACCUAUGAGUACAAAUUUGUUUAUCCUAUUUAUCAAAUCUUAAGUAUGUAUACUUGGAGAAAGAACACGGUUGUCUCCAAUAGAGGAUACUUGUUGUCAGAGAAAAAAAACUUUACUUAAUCGAGUUAUGUUAUUAUUAUUAUUAUUAUUAUUACUAUUAUUAUUAUUAUUAUUUUACAAGUUUGACUUCUUAAAAAAUAGAAGUACACUUUGAUUUGAAUUAAAAUAUUUAAUAAUUUUAAUUUUUAAAUUAAAUUUAUAUUUUUUAUUUUACAUAUUUAUUGGUUUAAAAGAAUUAAAGACUUGUUUAGUAUAAAAACUUUUUAAAUUGUAUAAAAGUUUAUAAUAAUAUUUCAUUUUUACCUUUUUAAAGAUUUAUAAAAAAACAUUAAAAAAUCAUAAUUUUUUAUACAAUUGUUUAAAACACAAAUUAAAAUAAAAACACCAUUUUUAUAAUUCUGUAUAAAAAAUAAUAAUAUAUACUUUAGAAGAACGUAUAUUUUUUUCAAGAUUAAAGAAAACUAAUUUUAAUUUUAGUAAAAAUAAUUAUGAUCAAUAUAUAAAUUGUAGGAUAAAAUAUAUAUUCAGGUGAUAAUUUUUUUAAUCUUAAUCAAAUUAAUUGAAUAAAUAUAAAAUAAUAUUUAGAUAUAAAAUAAAUCAUGUUAAAAAAAUAUUUGUUUUAUAUACAUUAACGAUCUUCGCCACAAAUUAAUUAUUAUUUUUUAUCAUCAAUAUUUAUAUCAAUAAAAAAAAUUCACAUAAUAUCUAUUUGAUAGACAUGAUUAAUGAGAUAAGGUAAUAUAAACAAUCAAAUUUUAUCUUAAUCUAUUAUUUUGUGAGCCAAUAUAAUAUAAUAGUAUGAUAAAACAAUCAAAGUUAAUAUUUUCUUAUUUUUAGUAACAUAAAUGAUAAUAUAAUUGUAAUUUAUAUUAUAUAUAUAUAUAUAUAUAUAUAAUACAUAUAUAUAAUAUUUAUUGUAAAAUAAUUUGAAAGUGAUGGUGCAAUUUGCAGGGGAAAUUUGAAAUUAUGAGGUAAUGAAGGGGCAUACUGGUAAAACAGCACAACCGACUCUGCGAAAAGCGCAUGUUGGCCUGAUAUAAACGUUCAGAGAGGGGUGUGAGAGAGAAAUCGAGAGAAAGUGAGAGAGAAUUACAGAGCAUUUUCCAACACGAUUACACGACCGAAUCAAACCCCUCUUUCUCUCCGAAGCUGCUUUUAAUAUCGUACUGGCCUUCGAUUGUUCUCCUCUUUAAUACAUACUGUUCUCUCUUCGAUUUGAGGUCACCACUCUCUCUUCUCUCGCCCUUUUCAAUUCUUUUCUUUAUUUAUGUAUUUUUUUUUAUCAUCGUCCUUUAUCAGAAUCUUUUUUUUUUCUUAUACAGGGAACAGUACAAGAGUCUGAGCAUCGGUUAACCCAACUGCACAGGUAAGGUGUCUUUAUUUCGUGUUUCUAUUUUGUGUUUCUGCGUUCGAUUUCUCCGCGGUUGUACUGGGUUGUUAUUGGUCGGACGACACGGGUUAAUUUUAUUGGUUUUUUAUUCUUCCCCUGUUUUUAAAAUUUGAUAAAAAAUGAUUUUUUUUUUUUUGUGGGGUUUUGGAUUGGUUGUGUUAUGGGUUGAAGUGGCAUGAUUCGGUUGGUGGGGGUGUUGAAAGGUGUGAUUUUUCUUGGUUCCCUUGUCCGGUUUGAGACUUGUGUUAAUUGUUCAUUUGGUCGAUCUUUGUUGCUAGACAUUGGAAGUGUUAACUGUUCUGUGGAAGUUUGUUUGUGUUGGUAAUGGGUUUGUUGGGUUUUGUUUGCAUGCUUGAAUUAUUUGUGAACUUUGAUUGUGUGUUGAUGCAUUUGUUGGAAUUUAGUGUCUGUUUUUGUUCAACGUCCGUAGAGAGGAUUCUUGGUGAGUUUGUGUUCUUCUUUUCCUUGUUUCUUAUAUGGUGGAUUGGUGGAAUGUAUUGGAAGGUUAGUGCAUGAGAGAGAAGGAAUGCUGUCAGUUCUGUUUUUAAUCCUUUUACAUGUCAAUCCAUGUGUCGUGAUGUCUAAUUGGCUUGAUCAAGGUUUUAAACUGCCGUCAUGGUAUCAUCGUGGUGUUGCGGGAAAUUGUGGACAAAUGUGCCCGUUGUGGCUGUAAAUUGUGGUUGUGGAGACUUCAAAAACCUUGAUGUUGCUGGCCAAAAUUAAGGUUAUAAACUAUUUUUUAAAACCUUGGGCUUGUUAUUGACUAUUUGGCUAUGGUUCCUGAUCGUAAUGCUUCAUUGGAUUUUGGUUGACUUGAUUUUGAUAUGUCAAACAUGAUUGAGAUGUGUGUCAUACUGGUGUAAGCUGUAAAAUGUAAACUUCCAAGGGUAAUUUGCUUGCAUUCAUUUAACUGGUCGUGAUUUCAUCGCAUUCAGUGUUGCGGGAGAUGUGGUUGUAAUUAUGGUUGUGAUCAUGGAGACUCCAAAAACCUUGACAUUUGCAGACCAUUUUUAAAACCUUGGGCUUGAUGUUGGACUAUUUGACCAUUAUUGUUGUUGAUUGUAUUAACGUGUUGGAUUUUGGUAGAAUUGAUUUUGAAAUGUUAAACAUGAUUGAGAUAUGUCGCUACUGGUGUAAACUGACAAGGGUAAUUUGCNNNNNNNNNNNNNNNNNNNNNNNNNNNNNNNNNNNNNNNNNNNNNNNNNNNNNNNNNNNNNNNNNNNNNNNNNNNNNNNNNNNNNNNNNNNNNNNNNNNNGACUGGUUUUUCUUUUCUUGUUUGUAUAUAUCUUUUCUGAGAGACUGAGGUGCUUUUCUUGCAGGUAGUCUCCAAAUAAUGGAGCCUCAUGAUGAGACUGGAUGCCAGGCUCCUGAACGCCCCAUUCUUUGCAUUAAUAAUUGUGGCUUCUUUGGAAGAGCAGCUACCAUGAACAUGUGUUCCAAGUGUUACAAGGACAUGCUGUUGAAGCAGGAGCAGGACAAAUUUGCAGCAUCAUCCGUUGAAAACAUUGUGAAUGGCAGUUCCAAUGGCAAUGGAAAGCAGGCUGUGGCUACUGGUGCUGUUGCUGUACAAGUUGAAGCUGUGGAGGUCAAGAUUGUCUGUGCUCAGAGUUCUGUGGAUUCGUCCUCCGGUGAUAGUUUGGAGAUGAAAGCCAAGACUGGUCCCAGUAGAUGUGCUACAUGCCGGAAACGUGUUGGUUUAACUGGUUUCAGCUGCAAAUGUGGCAACCUCUUCUGUGCAAUGCAUCGCUAUUCUGAUAAACAUGAUUGCCCUUUUGAUUAUAGGACUGUUGGUCAGGAUGCCAUAGCUAAAGCCAACCCCAUAAUUAAGGCAGAUAAGCUCGACAAAAUCUAGGCAUGCACUACUGAAGGUUAAUGUAUGAACCUUGAAGCUUCAUCUUCUAUAUGUAAGUUUCAUAUAUGUUGUCUUCCUGGUUUUUUAGGUGUCCUUUAGUGAUUAAAAUGAUCCAAGUCAAGAUGGCAAGGGCAUCAUUAGGGAAAACAUUUAUUGUUGGUUGGGAGAUCCACUUGUUAGCUCCAGUGUGUUUGUGCUGCUUUGAUGGACACUUUGGCUCAUUUUGUAAUUUGAUUUCCUGCUUGGUCUGCAUUUUUCUUCCUCAUUGCAUGAAAAGUAUUUCCUGCGUAGUCUUGUAUUGGUUUUGCUUUUGAAUCAUUAUAGGAAUGUUUAAUUUUUAAUGCUCAUUGCUCAAAAUACACGCAGCAAGUUCGGAUCUACUGGCAGGACUUCGUUAUUGAUAUAAUUCUCAAUUUAUUAUUGUUAUUGGCCUAUACGAAUGAGAGAAACAAUUUUCUGGAACAAAAAGAUUGAAUGAGGACCUGUGGACAAGUGCAUAGAUCCAGAGCCCUACUAGUAGUGUAGAAAUGUUAUAUGACUUAUGCUAUGAACUAAGUAUUGUUUAUAUCGCAUUACCUCGUUGUUUUCAUAUUCUGCGUCUGUCUCUAAUGUUAUUCAACAAGUGAUCAAUGUGUCCAUUUGUUACUCAAUCUAACAAUAAAUUGCGGAUCUAAACUCGAUUUUCCUUUAAAAUUCACUUGUUUAUUAGCAAGAGAAAUGAAAUAAUAUUCAGUUUUAUAAUAAUGUAUAAAAUUAACAUUUUCUCAAAACACUAUUAAGGUUUUACUUUUAUAUAUAUAAUUUCUGGCAAACAGCUUUAGCUUGUCUUUCGACCAACCAAAAGAGUAAAGACUAUAUGUGUGGGAGUAAUAUAUUUUAGGCCCAAUUUAAGUUAGAUCAAAAUAACUUCGAACUUAAAACUCAUUUUCUGUGGGAAUAAUUGGGCAAACAUCAAACUCAACCUAUUUCGGCACCCUACGAUGAAUCAAACUACUUACCCUGUUACCCAUGUGCACUUAAAUAGGCAAUUUUUGGAGCCACUUUGUCAACCUGACAGAGUGUUAAGAGGUAUAAGAUGCACUUAAGGACGGAGUCUUGGUUUAAUCAAGCCACUGGAGAUUGGAAACAAACUAUAAACCUUAGGUAUAGAUUCAAAUCCUAUUGGACGCAAAUUGUUUGCAUAUAUUUGCUUUUCAACUAACUGGCCAGGAGAGUUUACUUAUGACUUCCUUAGAACUGCAAUAGGGCCUGCUUAGUCACGUCCUUAACUGAUCUGAUUGUGAUGACAGAGUGUUAAAAGGUAUAAAACGCACAAAGGACAAAUGUAUCUUAUACAAUGAUAAUAAUGAUAAUAAAUUUAAAGUUCGGAUAUCAUACACUAAAGAUUUUCCAAAACAAUUAAAUUUUACAAGUAGUCUAAGUGAAUUCAUUUUGGAAAACAAUUUAUCAAAUACUUCGCAGAAAAAUUAAUUGCAAUAACUAAGCAAUAAUGGUUGAAAGAUUAACAUUUAACAGAUGGGAAGACCUAGGCUCUGAGUUCAAUCCAGAUAACUUCCCCCAAAUUUUUAUUCUAACUGAAUCUUAAAUUAAACUUCAAUUACUGAUAGUCCCUCCUAAUUUCAUUAAGCCUAUAUUUGGAUGAAGGGUUUUAAUCUAAGGAAUGUAAAAUUCAACAAUUUUAAUCUGCUUUCCUCAACACCUUGUUUAUUUUUCUUCUUAUAUACCCUACUUAUAGUAUCAAACAAAAUUUAUCCAGACGAAGGGAAAUUUUUUUUUACAGAGAACAAAAUAUAAAAAACUUUAUUCCAUAUGCGCAGAAAUGAAACUCGAACUUUAUUAUUGAUUUAGUUUCUUUAUCUACGAAAAAAAGUAACUUGCAGUUGCAGAGUUUAGACUCAAAGUAAAGGCAAAAAAUGAACAAGUGAGACAAUACGUAGCGCAUAAAGGGAGUGUAUUAAUACCGGUUCAAAAUAUUCUAUACCCUUACUGUCAUAAAAUGUUUUCUUUGCUGUUAUCGAGAUGUAUGAGUUGGUAUUAUCAGUUCCAGAAUAUAAGGGAUUGAUCUAUCCAUUGAGACGUCACACACUCGUUAACUUUCAUCCCUUCGAGCCAUACAUCUCAACUUGUGGUGUACCAAACGGUAGUUUUCAUGGUACAAGUAACUCAGAAUAUUUCCAGAGUAAAACUACUCAAAAGGGUUGUUUUCACCCUUUAAUAUCAAUUAAACCAAAAACAUACCCCUCCAUUCCAAAACUUUGGGUGAUUAAAGUUCUUACACACAAAUUAAAAAAUAUUUAAUACGUGUAAAUUUAGACUACAUUGCCCUCAUUUAUUAUUUUAAAACCAUACUCCCUCCGUUACAAAACUUUGGGAGUAUUAUUUACUUGACAAUUUUGCUUUAAUUUUUUUGAAAUUGAAAGCAAAUAGCCUUUAUUUUUUCUGAAUGAAAUAUUGAUUUAGCUUACUCAUUUUUUGCCAAGUAUAUAUUUCAUUUUAAAUGCACUAUUUUUCAUCGGUAGGUGUGAUUCCCAAAAAUUUAGAGUCUUUUUCGCCACAACACAUAUCUAAUAGUUAUAUUAGUAUACAUAUAAUUCAGCAAAAAAUAUAUAUUAGUAUACAUAAAAUAAAAUCAGAUUUAUUUUAAAUAUCUGUUUUAAAAUAAAUUAAUGCUAUUAUUAAAUAAAUUUUAAAAACAAAUUUUAUUACAUUGAUUUCGAUAUCAUACUAUAUUACUCAUAAAUUUAUAUUUCACAAAUAUGGGGUUUCAAACCUUUCGUUCGCAAACUUUAGUUAAAUUAAAUUUCAACUAAUUUAUAGAUUUACCUGUAAACAUUUUUUUCUCUGUGAUAAUCGAAGACACCAUCAGGAUUUACAACAACUCAUGCUUUUAGAUCUCCUUGACUACCUAUAAAUAUUUUAAAUCACAUUAAAAAAUUAAAUUUAUUUUGAAAUAGGAAAAUAUUUUAUUUUAGCAACAUUUAUAGAUUCUUUUUUCUACUUUGCUACAGCCUCAUAUAAACCACUCCUCCCAGAAUAAAUUUAAUGACUUCUUCACAGGUUCCCCAACAUAAGCCUCUGAAGCUAAAUUUAAAGUGGGGUUCGCAGUAUACAUUCCAUAUAGUUUUAGGCCCUUAAUAGAAUAAAUACUCCCCAAAACAAUUUUAUUUUUGGUUCCAUACCAGCACAGCUAAAUUAACAGCAAAAUAUGUUGCCUUACAAUAGAAAUUUCUUUCAAGUGAAUCGUUUCUAUUGUAAUUUUUUAAUCAUGGUAGAAAAAAAUAGUAAACAUUGUUAUACAACUAUAAAAUGUUUUGAAAUCAUGUAGAAGAGUUGCUUGAUAAGGGAAAUACAUUGUUGCAAUAGAAACAAAUUUGGCCAUGAACUCUUUACAGAGAACAAGCAAACCCCUCAGUUACAUAUUAUAUUUGGGUAGAGCAAACAAGUGACGAAUCCUCCUGAUAAUGAUAUGCCAAAUCAUCUUAUGGAAUAGUCUAUGAAAAUAGAAAGAAAAAAAAGGUUGAUUCAAUCAUGAUUUUACCAAGAAUUAAAAUGAAGAAAACAAAUAUUUUGAAAGGGAUCUUUAUCAAUUUCGAGGCAGACUAAUAGUAAGAUUUUCAUCAAGGGUUGCAAUUUUUUUUAUUAGUGGGAAAAUAAGAGGGUUUCAAAUUAAAUAAAAAUAAACAUAAUUUUGUAUUCAAUUACACUCUAAUGUUUUGUACAUUCAAUUCUCCAAAUCAAUUUGAUUGAAUUCAUACGAAAAAUAGUGAGUAAUUGUUGAAAUUAGGAAAACAAUUAAAUACAUCCCACAAAUCCAGUGUAGUAGUUAAUGAAAAAGAUUUCUUAAAAAGAUAAUAAUUAGAUCUAAAAUAAAUUGAUUUUUUUUAAAAAUAUUGAAACAGGGAAUUUUAUUUUAUUUUUGCUUAAAAACAUGAGGCAUCAAACAUAGUAUAAUUAACAUAAAUCAUUUAUAUAAUUGUUUUUUAUUUUUAAAAAGAAUAGCAAAAUGAAGAUUACUAAUUUACCCAGCGCCAACUAUUUAUAUAUAUAUAUAUAAAGUUUUUUUUCAUUCCAGUUAUUAUAAGUGAGACGAAAUUUGCCGUAUUUGAUAUAUGAUUUGUGUUAUUCUCUUUGUUUUAAAACAUUAGUCUUUUUAGCUUUUUGUUUUUGUUUCAAAAUAAUGGUUCUUUUAGUUUUUUUUUAAAUUAUUUUCCCAACAAUACCUUAUACAUGACAUCAAUUAAUACUUACACUGAAAAUAGAUAUUUAUCAUAAAAAAAAGUUAGUGGACAAUAAAAUGUAUCAUUAUUGGUGGUUAGUGGGAUAUUUUGUGUCAAAAGUAGUUGAAACAAUGAGGAUAUUUUAGUCUAAAAGUGUCACAAACUUAAAAUACCAUUAUCUUGUACUGAAGGAAGUANNNNNNNNNNNNNNNNNNNNNNNNNNNNNNNNNNNNNNNNNNNNNNNNNNNNNNNNNNNNNNNNNNNNNNNNNNNNNNNNNNNNNNNNNNNNNNNNNNNNAAAGUAUAAAAAUAAAAUCUUUCAAAAAUAUAAGUGACCAAAAUAAGAUUUUUAAAACUUAAUGUACUAAAAUAUAAAAUAUCAAAAAUAACAUUUAAUUUUUAUUUUAUAGUAGUCAAAUGUAUUCCCUACUAUAGGUUUAGAUAGCCUUGGAGUUUGUUCAUCUCAUGGGUCUUGGCUCAUAUCCCCCCAUGAUGUUCUUGUUCAUUUUGACUCUUUCAGUUAUAAUAUUUGCAAGUUGUGUUGCUUCUGUGUGAGGGUUGUUGAGGUUUCAACCUAGUUUGGGAUGCCAUCAAUCCUCAUACUGCAAUCUAGCCUUUUUUGCUAAAAAAAAUCCAUUGUUUGUGUAUUUCUAAUUUAAUGCUAUCUAUCGGUUAAGGAUGUGAACCUUAGUCUGCUCUUGUUUUUGUCCUAUUCUAUAAUUCAACCAAUAUGCCUUUAAUUGUUUUUUUUUAUCCGUUCAAAUUGAAGGAAAUUUACAAGAAUUUAUGCAACAAUUGCACUCAAUUAUCUGAGCUAGACUUUAUGGAUUCCCUUUAACGGGUUUAACAAUCCAAAAGUAAAACAUAAAAGGAAAACGAAAAAGGAAGGGGAGGUUGAAAAGGAUAUAUUUUUCAUAACAUUCAUAACAAAAGAGAUGUGUCUAAAUCUUUGGCACUAUUCAUAACAUUCAUAUAAACAUGGACAGCAAAAUCACACAAAAGGUCCCCACCGUAAGCCUCAUAUUGGUACUGUGAGAGGCUAAGCUAUGGAAAGUGUAUUAUUAUCCCUCAUGGCUUUCUUCAAUGCAAUAAGUGGAAUUUGAUAACAAACUUGCCUUUCCCUCGCAGCCACCAUUUCGUGUCUGGUUUCUUUAUCAAAAGACAAAUUUCACGACCUGACUCCUUAGCUGUGAUCUGUGUCAUUUUGGGUCAGUGGAAUAUUGCAAACCAAGAGGGCAGCAGAAACACCCAUGUCCAUCUUUCUUGUAUACAUAAUUGAAACUCAAAUGUUUUUAUACAUAGUAGUACGAUACUAAAGUAAAUUCUUUCUUUGGAUGCUCAAAUUAAGGUUUGGUAUUUGUUAAUUGAAAAAUAGACUGUUGAUAGUGUGUGAAUAUGCCUUAUUCAGAUUUUUAAGUGGGACAAAUUGACAUGUGCCGAAACAGCAAUAUAUACAGCCAAUUUCCCAAAGUACAUACCGUCAAUUAAUCUUCUACUUGAUAUAAACAUGGAGUCACUGAGAAUAGAAUGUGAUUAAUAGCAUUGUGCAUCUACUAUCCAAUCUAGCUGGUCAAAUUAAAGAGACUACAAACAUAAGAGUAAAUAGUUUCUAAUUAGAUACAUUAAUAAUAAUUUCUAAUUAAAUAAUUGUGUAAGUCAAAGAAAUUAAACUCCAAAUAUAAAUCUUAAUUUUACAGAUAAAAGUCGGUAUCAAUGGAAAUAAUGAUUCCAAAGGGCACGCAUAGCUUUGAUGCCUUUGACUGCUAUGAUCGAUGUGCCAAACAAAUACUCCCAUCCGAUUUCGCACCUAAACAAUUAUUCUAUUCUAAACAUUUUUAAUUAUUGUUACAGUCUUCAUUAGUACUACAAUAUAUAUUAUGUUAAUAUAUGAUCGACUUUAUUAGUAGGUAAUCAAACAUGAUGAUACAUGUAAGAUGAAAAAGAAAAAGAAAAAAACUAGAGUCUCACUUUCUUGGUUUUUCUUUCAUGGUCCUGAUUAAUAAAAAGAAAAUUAUAUAAGGUGGUUAAUUUUGUGGUGACAUGGCCUAAUGCCAUCUAAUUAGUCCUCAGUGAUUGAUGAUAAUGUAGCUAAUUGGACAGGGGUUUUGGUACGAUGCAGAGAAAAGUCAAAGGAAUUGAUUGGGCACUGCUCACUGCCACCAAAUUAUUAUAGUACUAAUUUAUACCAAAAAAUGUUAAACUCUUUUCGUUUGUCUUUUUGCUACUGUCUUUCGUUCUUUCUUGUCAUUCAUUUUUUUUGCUUAAAUCCUGCAGGGUGCUACAUUACUCUAUACGAAGAAUCUAAAGGGUUUCUGAUGAAGGGGGGCUUCACUUCUAAGUGUAUUUUGGCUCUAGGAGGUUCUCACUUUUUCUUUGGAUUUUUCCUCUUUCCAUUUAUCCCCUUUUCCUGGUCACACUGCAGGGGUUCAGCAAUUUUCGUUAUUGUCCUUCGGUCUUCUUUCAGAGACUUGGACACUUUCACAGCAAAACCUCAAAUAAUGGGCACUAGUAUCAUGGUAUGUCUAAGACAAAAUUAAAGUCAACUAUUAACAAAUCACCUGCAAAAAUGCUAGAUCAGUAGAUGCACUGAAGUUUGAAGCAGUAAGUAAAAAAAAGAAAAAUAAUUAGUCUUAAUUAAAUCAUAAAAAAUAUAAAAAAUUCUUUGGUAAACAUCACAAGUAUAUUUUAAAUGAAAUUAAUAUGCUGCUUGAGAUUAUUAUAGACGAUAAUUUUUUUAACAUUUAAUAUAAUUUUUUAAAAAUAUUUAAUAUAAUUACAUACUUAAUAUAUAUAUAUAUAUAUAUAUAUAUAUAUAUAUAUAUAUAUAUAUAUAUAUAUAUAUAUAUUAAUUAGCUGCAUUUUUUAGAAUUUUAGAAAUAAUAGUAUCUACUUGUCAAAUGUAUGAGUAAAUUAUGUUUUUCGUUGUUUGUCUUUUUACAAAAUCUAUUUUAGUUCUUCAAUUUCUUUUACCAAUUUUUGUCUCUUAGAUAUUUUUUUUAUUGAUUUUAGUCUUUCAAUAAUUUUUUUGAUAGGUCUUAGUCCAAUAACUUUUGUUUGCCAUUGUUUUUAGUCAUUCUUAUUAAUUAUCAUUGUUAAGCAAUUAUUUGAUAAUCAUAUAAUUUUCCACAUGAAUUAUUAAUAUGAUGUAAUAAUCAUCCAGUAAAGUAUUGUUGGUUUAGAUAUUUUGGCGAUUUUAAGGCGUUGCAGAUUUUCUAAUGGUAUAAAACUGUUAGAAAGAGAGAUUGAAUAGUUUAAAUCGGAGGGGGGAAAGGCCAUGCCACGAUGCUGUGAAAGUGAGACGAGUCCAUGCGAUGGAGAGGAAGGAUCUUUCUCUUAAUUGCUUUGUGAUUUGCUUAUUCUUACCUUUUUUUUAGGAGUGGUUGAUUUUGUGUUUUGGAUCAUGGAUUUAUGGGUUGCUGAUUUGUGUAAAUGCUUCUUUGUGGUUUAUUGAUUUUACUUAUUGCAUUUUUUUUCUUCACAAUUUCAAACCUUUUUUUUAUAGUAAUUUUACAAUGUUAGAAAAUUUGUAACACCUUAUAAUUGUUAGAAAAUGUCUUGUACUAAAAAUAAUUUAUUAUAUGAUUGUUGCAUUAUAUUAGUAAUUCACAUGAUACAUGAGGAUGGUUGUUUCACAUCAUUGUCUAAUGGUGAUAACUAAUUAAAAGAACUAAAAAUAAUAAUAGAUAAAAAUUGAAGAACAAAUAUUGAUUAAAAAAUUAUUAAGGGAUUAAGAUCAAUAAAAAAAUGUUGAAGGAUUAAAAUUGAUCAAAAAAUUAUUGGAAAAUUAAAAUUAAAUUUCAUAAAAAGAUGAAAAAUACAAAUAUAAUUUAUUUAAAAAUUUUACAUGUGAUUACCAUGUUAUAUUAGCAACAUAAUUAUUAUAUCAUUACUUAACAAUAAUUAUUAUAUCAUUACUUAACAAUUAAAAUUAAUAGAUAUCAAGAUUGAACAAAACUUUAUUUAGAGACUAAAAACAAAAAUCAUAAAAAAUUGAUAGAAAAAAAGAUACUUUUGUCCCAAAUAAAAUGAUGAGACAAAUACAAUAGGAAAUCAAACAUUAAAUCCUGCAACAAAUUUAACUGUCAAGGCACAUUUUGCAUAAUUUCUCCCAAGAUCCAGAAGAUUAUCUGGGAAUAAAAAAAAACUCAAAUAUGUCAGAACUUUUGGCGAGUUUUGAAUUUAGAAAGAGAAACUAUCCUCGUGGGCCGUGACCCUGUUCUGUUGAUAGAAAUCAUACAAAAGUUAAGAAUCUUUUGAUAUUAUGUGGAUACUGUUAGGAACUUUUUGGAUUUCGCCCACUCUUGUCAGAGAAAGUGGGCAUUUUAUGAUUCCCUUUCUCCGUUUUAAAACACAUCUAGGACAUCUCAGCUUCUGUAAUGUUAAACUCAUUUUUGUUAUUGGUUCGGGUAAUAUUUAUGAGAAUAUAUUUGUACAUUAUUAUUAUUACUAUUAUUUACUUAAUAUAAUAAUAAUAAUAAUAUUAUGUAUUUAAUCUAAUUACUUUGCAUAAGCGAUGAUGUUAAACAAAUUCAAAAUAUAUUUUGAUAAGUUUUGUUAUAAAUAUAUUUUGCAUAAAUUUCAAAAUUUAAAAAUAUAUUGGGUAUAAUUAUUAAUAUUUUUUAUUUAGCUUUAACAUCACGAAAAUUUUCAUUAUAUACACUCUGAAUUUGUUUAAUGGUUUUUACUAAUACAUUUCUUGAAUAUUGCGACAACCAAAUUUUAAAACGACUUAUUAAUUAGUUGCUUAACAAUUUCUUAAUUUAAAAUGAAAUAUAUAGUUAAAAAGGAUAUAAUAUUUAAUAUAUUAAAAAAAUUGUAUAUUUUAACAAAUGGUUUUUAUUUUUAAAAUUAUAAUAAAUAAACUAAGAGAAUUUACUAAUAUUUGUUAUUCUUAAAUUUAAUUAUCAUCAUGUUUAAUUAAAAAAUAUUUAAGAACUUUAUAUAAUCCUAUUGAAUGAGUUAUUAAGAAUAUCAUAAUCUUUUUGCAUCAUUAAAUUAUCAUCUCUCCAUAAAAUUAAUUUUGUAUAUAAUAUAAAACAAAAGCAUUAUGGAGAAACAAUGUUUCUUGAUUUUUUUUUAAAUUAUACAUCAAACUUAAAAACUAAGAGGGUGUUUGGUUUGGUUGUUUUCUGUUUUUCAUUUUCACUGAAAAUAGAAAAAAAUGACGAUAAAAAUGUAUUUGGUUAGAUUUCUGUUUUCAUUUUCAGUGGAAAUGUUUUCUCAAACGAGCCAGAAAUUGGAAACAAUAAAAUCUCAUUUCGAGUAUUUUCAGUUGAAACCAAAAAUCUCAUUUUAAAUAAAAAUGAAAACGCGGUGUAAGAGAUGUAAUUUCAAACAAAUUUAAAAAUAUAUUUUAUUUUAAAAAUGCAUUUUUAAUGUUUUUAUUUCUUGAAAGCAAAAAAAAAUAAUCAAACUAAACAUAUUUUCAAAAUUCUAAUAUUCUAAAACUGAAAAUAAUUUUUAAAAAAUAAAAAUAAAAAAUGAAAAUAAAAAAUAAAAAUACAAACUAAACACACUCUUGACAUUUUCAACUUCUUCCUUUUCCCUAUCAAAGGCCUCUCAACUCCCAAGCUCUCAUCCACCAACACCAUAUUUAACUCCAUGAAACAUGUUAGAGAAUUAGAGGAAUGAACAUGAACGGGCUGCAAUUUUCAUCUCAAACAGUGAAUUUAACUCAUACAGGGCAAAAAGUUAUUUUAAACAAUAAAGUGAAGAGUUGUAUAUAAUUAUUGAUAAAAAAAUUACAUUAAUGAUUAAUAUUAUGAUUAAAUGUAUAAUAAACUAUGUAAUUAUUUCAAUUUUUAUUAAUAAUUAUACUUUUUUUAUCCUCUAAAAUAAAUCCUUUACUUCCACUAAAAAAAAAAAAAUCCCUUACUGCAGGAGCUAGAUUCAUUAAUUUGUGUAGUCCUCCACCGCUCAAUAAAUUGCAUGUAUAAGAGGAUCUAUGAGUUCAUGUCUAAUACACUUGUUUCCGUUGGUGAAAUGUAAUAUUCCUCUCCCUCAAAUCAAAGAGCCUUUGUCAUUCACUCUUCCUGACCUACUCUAAAUUGUGGAUCCCAUGCAUAAAAAAGAGCAGCAACGAUUACCAUAAAUUAUAAAUCAUAAACAAUUGUGAUUAUUUAUUAAUAGGAGGGUGUCUAAGUCUUUUAUUUUUUGUAAUAAGAAAAGGGGGGUCGGAAAUAAAAUAUUGUAGAAGCAGUGUAUUAGUAUUAUAUUACUGUUAACGAUACUUGUCCGAACUUAUCUUGACCUCCGUCACCGUCUUAUUUUAUUAUUUGGACUUCAUAUAAUUCCAAAUGAGUCUGAAACCUGCCAUGGGGACCUCUGUCUCUCAUCAACACUAUCACUCACGAGAAGCCUUUCUUCCAUGCCCCCUUUUCGUCCUCUUAUUCACACACUUGUUUCUUUCUAAUAAAUAUUACUCUCUUUGCUUUUUUUAAGUCCGUUGGUUCAUCCCAUAUUAUAUGCGACACCUAGUGCUCCUAAUAUAUUAGUACAAGUUUUGAAUUCUUGCUUUUUUAUUUUAUUUUAUCGUGUCAUCAUAUGUUUGAAAUAUCCUGUGAAAAUGAUCGAUCAAAAUUAUGACAAAAAUCAAUAAUCAAAAGUCAAUACUCAAAAUUUGUAAAUACUGAUAAAAAUAAUUCCUGUAUAACUACACCAAUGUUAUAAUAUAGCUUUUGGAACUCACACUAUUAAACACUUAGAACUCAAAUUUUUAAAAGAUUCAGCCUAAUUCCAUGUGAAAAUCAAUCACAUGUUGGUGUUGUUAAUUUUGUUUAAUACUAAAGCUAAGGUGCCAAGUUUAAUGAAAAUUUUUGUUUCAUACUUGGGGCAAAUCAAAGUUCUCUGACUUGUGAAUUCUGACGGUCAAUUAGAGACCCCACGUAGGAACACAAAUUGACAAUGUUGGCACGUGACCCGGUGACCGUGCCAAAACGUCUUCAAUGCAUUGAAUUGGUUGCCGUGGUAAUCCUAAAUAAAAACGUUUGGGCGUUCCAAGGUCAAAUCCCGGGGCCACUAUUUAGCUUCUUUGGAUUCUAUUUUGCAACGUUGAAAAAACUUCACUUCUUUUUCUCUUCUUGGGGGUGAAAAGUUCCGCGAUAUUAGUGACUCGAUGGUCUAUAACAGUAACAACUAUUUUCGGACAAUGGCUUGUAACUUUCUCUGCUCACAUUGUUUGGCCCUGUUUCAGAGAAUUUGGCUACUAGUAGUAACAAUAAAUACAUAUACUAAUAAGUGGAAACAAAACAGAAAGGUAAAAUUAAAUAUGAGUCGGGUAGAGUGUUGAAAUUAAGCUUAACUUAUAGUACUACAUUACUCAUACAAUAAUUUUUUUUUUUUAUAAUUUUAAGGUCAUAAGGUGAUAGAAGUAUUCAUAUUAGGAAGAUAUCUAUGAUUAUGUAAACAGAUCAUUUACUUUUAGUAUAUGUAAAAUGCCAUUUUUUGUUUGUUUAUUUGCUCUAGAAAUGUGUUUUUAACAAAUAAAUACUCAUAUAUGAAAAAUAAGAAUUACAAGCAACACAUUUUCAUGAAUGAUAAAUAUUUUUUAAGGAACAAAAACAAACAUUAGUAAACACUAAAAACAUAUUUAAUCUUAUAUUUUAUAAUAUUAUGUGUUUUUCUAUCUUUUCAACACAUUUGAUAUUUUUACCUUAUACUUUUUUUUUAAUAUCUUCACUUCUCUUCCUUUACUGUGGAAAUUAUUGUACCAUUUUCUUGUCCAAAUACAAUUCCUUUUGACACACCGCAGUGUCAUGAAGGGGUAAAAAAGUCUUACAAAAAGAGAGAGAAAGAGAGACUUUUGUGGUUUUUAUCAACAAAUUCCUCAAUGGCCAUGAUGAGUUUUUUCACGUAAAAAUGCAAGCUUUUUUCUCUCCAGCCCAUCAAGCUCCAGCAAUAUCUCUAGAGACAGAUUUGACAUUCCCACACACUAAGCACUGAUAUAUAGAAACCGUUGUUGAAAAUAGCACAUAGCAAGUUCUUUUGCAGACACACCAAGCUAAUGGCUACUACCACAUUCUGUACAUACCUAUUCCUUCUCUCUGUGUACCUUUCAAUCUUCAUUAAUCUUAGUUCAUCUUCUUCAGAAGGUAAUAUUCUUCUCUCCUUCAAGGCCUCCAUUGAAGAUUCUAAGAGGGCCUUGUCUAGCUGGUCCAACACUUCCUCAAACCACCACUGUAACUGGACUGGAAUCACUUGCUCCACCACACCUUCACUUUCAGUAACUUCUAUCAACCUUCAAAGCUUAAACCUUUCUGGAGAUAUCUCAUCUUCAAUAUGUGACCUUCCAAAUCUGUCUUAUCUUAACCUUGCUGAUAACAUCUUCAACCAACCCAUCCCUCUUCAUCUCUCUCAGUGCAGUUCCUUGGAGACUUUGAAUCUCAGUACCAACCUCAUAUGGGGCACUAUCCCGUCUCAGAUUUCUCAGUUUGGUUCAUUGAGAGUGCUUGAUUUGAGCAGAAACCACAUAGAGGGAAACAUUCCUGAAAGCAUAGGCUCCUUGAAGAACCUCCAAGUUCUCAACUUGGGAAGCAACUUGCUUUCAGGUAGUGUACCUGCUGUCUUUGGAAAUCUAACUAAACUUGAAGUCCUUGAUUUGUCUCAGAAUCCUUACUUGGUGAGUGAGAUUCCUGAGGACAUUGGUGAGCUUGGAAAUCUAAAGCAACUUCUGUUGCAAAGCUCUUCUUUUCAAGGUGGAAUUCCAGAUUCUCUGGUGGGCAUUGUCAGCUUGACCCAUUUGGAUCUCUCUGAGAACAACCUAACAGGUGGGGUUCCAAAGGCUCUACCGUCUUCUCUCAAGAACCUGGUUUCAUUAGAUGUUUCACAAAACAAGCUUUUGGGGGAAUUUCCAAGUGGCAUAUGCAAGGGACAAGGCCUUAUUAACCUCGGUCUCCACACAAAUGCCUUCACUGGUUCAAUACCCACCUCCAUUGGUGAAUGUAAGAGUCUUGAGAGAUUCCAAGUCCAGAACAAUGGUUUCUCUGGAGAUUUCCCCCUUGGAUUGUGGUCAUUACCUAAAAUUAAGCUCAUCAGAGCUGAAAACAACAGAUUCUCAGGGCAGAUACCUGAGUCAGUUUCAGGAGCUGUUCAGUUGGAGCAAGUUCAGCUUGACAACAACAGCUUUGCUGGUAAAAUUCCUCAAGGUCUUGGCCUUGUCAAGAGCUUAUACAGAUUUUCUGCUUCUCUCAACCGUUUCUAUGGUGAACUUCCUCCAAACUUUUGUGACUCUCCUGUUAUGAGCAUAGUAAAUCUCUCCCACAAUUCUCUUUCUGGUGAAAUCCCAGAGCUCAAAAAAUGCAGGAAACUAGUUUCAUUGUCUUUGGCUGACAACAGUCUAACAGGAGACAUACCCUCUUCCCUUGCUGAGCUACCUGUGCUUACUUACCUUGAUCUUUCACAUAACAAUCUCACUGGUUCAAUCCCACAAGGGCUUCAAAACUUGAAGCUUGCUCUUUUCAAUGUGUCCUUCAAUCAGCUAUCAGGUAAAGUACCAUACUCCUUGAUUUCAGGUCUCCCUGCCUCAUUUUUGGAAGGAAACCCUGGUCUUUGUGGCCCUGGAUUGCCUAACUCUUGCUCUGAUGACAUGCCAAAACACCACAUUGGUAGCAUCACAACCUUAGCAUGUGCCCUCAUCUCUUUAGCCUUUGUUGCUGGAACUGCCAUUGUUGUUGGUGGGUUUAUUUUGAAUAGGAGAUCUUGCAAGAGUGAUCAAGUAGGGGUUUGGCGCUCGGUGUUCUUCUAUCCACUCAGAAUUACUGAGCAUGAUCUGCUUACAGGGAUGAAUGAGAAGAGUUCAAUGGGAAAUGGUGGGAUUUUUGGUAAAGUUUAUGUUUUGAAUUUGCCUAGUGGUGAACUAGUAGCUGUGAAGAAGUUGGUUAAUUUUGGAAACCAGUCCUCAAAAAGUUUGAAGGCUGAGGUCAAGACUUUGGCAAAAAUCAGGCAUAAGAAUGUUGUUAAAAUUCUUGGGUUCUGCCACUCUGAUGAGUCAGUGUUUCUCAUUUAUGAAUACUUGCAUGGAGGGAGCUUAGAGGAUUUGAUUUCUAGUCCGAAUUUUCAGUUGCAGUGGGGAAUUCGAUUAAGAAUUGCCAUUGGAGUUGCUCAAGGACUGGCAUAUCUUCACAAGGAUUAUGUCCCUCACUUGCUUCACAGAAAUGUCAAGUCAAGUAACAUUUUGUUGGAUGCAAACUUUGAGCCAAAACUCACAGAUUUUGCUCUUGAUCGAGUUGUGGGAGAAGCUGCUUUUCAAUCAGUUUUGAACUCUGAAGCAGCAUCUUCAUGUUACAUUGCACCAGGUAUGAGAAUUACGAAUCACUCAAUUACAUAAAGCACUAAUUGAAAAUGCAUUCUCCCGUCAUUGAACAAACUCAUGCAAUUCAUAGAAUUUCCUUUUGAUACAAAUCAAGACCUAUAUGCUUUGCUUGAAUGUUCACUUUAUUGUGAAAGUGCUUGAUUUUGUAUGCGAACUCUUGAGAUGAUUCAUUUUAGUACUUCUUAACCUUGGCUUCUGAUUGAUGACUACUCUCUCUGCAAAUUUUGCAUUAGAAUGGGUUUGAGUGGCAUGUUAGCUGAUAAAUUCCACAGGACUUUAGUGGAUUUCAAUAGAGUUGCAUCAUCGUACUUGGCUAACUAUAACUGCCUAAAUUAUGUACUAUAUUUUCACAAGAAUAUCCAGUAAACCGAUUUAUAACUCAUUUUAUUAAAUAUAUUAUUGAUAGAAAACAAUGCAUAGAAUAUCAUCAAUAUGAAUGCUGGCAACAAAUAUUUAAUUUUGCUUAUUGUAUAAGUUAGCCAAUAAACAUUGACAUGCUAACUAACUCUAUUGUUGCAUUGCAGAAAAUGGCUACACUAAGAAAGCAACUGAACAAUUGGAUGUCUACAGCUUUGGUGUGGUAUUGCUAGAGCUAGUGAGUGGCAGGCAAGCAGAGCAAACAGAGUCAAAUGACUCACUUGACAUUGUGAAGUGGGUCAGAAGGAAAGUGAAUAUCACUAAUGGGGUGCAACAAGUUCUUGACCCUAAAAUAUCACACACUUGUCACCAAGAAAUGAUUGGAGCUUUAGACAUAGCGCUUCAUUGCACUUCUGUGGUGCCUGAGAAAAGGCCAUCCAUGGUAGAAGUUCUAAGAGGCCUUCACUCCUUGGAGUCAAGAACUUGCAUUGCAAAUUUGCAUGAACCAAAUGAGGAACCCUCCAUUCCAGUCUGAACUUCUAUGUUCCAACUCAAAGACUGCCUUGUUUUUUGUUGAGUCUUUGUAUGUAAAUUUUAAGCUUUGUAUUUCACAUCAUUUUUUUUCUUUUCAAUCUGAUGAUUAUAUAGGAAUGGUUUGGCCACGAUACAUUCUAUGUUUGGCAUUGAAUUCCAAGUGUUAAUGAUACUCAGGAGUACCAUCACGUAUUUGUUUAGACACAUACUUUAAUGAUGUAGGCUCAAGGUCGAAGUAGAUAACACCAGCUUCACUAUAUUAUUUUAUUUUUCGUUCUGUCCUUAUGGCAGUAGGCUGUGGAGGAACCAACUAUACUAUACAUAAAGGAAAAAGUUCGGCCAAUGCUGUAAAAAACAAGUGAAUUUUUUUAUAUUGGCAAAAAGAAUGAGUUGAUAGAAGAGGGAAGUAUUUGAGUCAUGAAAAGUGGUUUGACAUGUUACAUUGUGUCUCAAUCUUAAUUUUUUUAUAAAUAUUAUUCAUAAUAACAAUUUAUUUAUUCAUAAUAAAUUAAAAAUAUAAUAUAUACGUAUAUUAAAAAGUAUUUAUUUGUUAUAAAUUUUAAUUUCUUUACAAAUACACAUUUUAAUUAUGAUAUAAUUUAUAUAUUAAAAAUAUUUAUUUAUUUACUUUAGUUGUAUAAAAUAAUCAUUUAUCAUGUCAUUCCUAUGCAAUGCUGAUAAACUCAAAAAGUGAUUCAAUUUAUUUUGGAUUAAAGCGGUAUUGGUAGUUGGAAUUGCGAUCUUUAUUGUUGUGCUUUGGCAUGUCAUUAAUAAAGUCUCACUUCCUCAUUUUACACUUUUAUUUUAUUUUAUAUAAAUAUUUAAAUUUUAUUAAUGUUUUAUUUACUAUUAUCUUUAAAAAUAAUAAUCAAAGAAUAUAAAAUAUUUUUUUAUUAAAAAAACAAUGUUCACUUCCUUUUUAAAGAGUGGGAUUUUAUAAUAUUAAAAAAAAAACAAAUGCAUGUCUUUCUCUCUCUUUGCAAACAAGGAAAACAAAUGCGUAUACUCUCCAAUUUAUUUUUGCAUUGGUUGAUGUUGAACUUGAUCCCAUCAUAACAAAAUUCUUAUUUUUCUUGUAUUUGGUCACAUUGUGAUGCUUGGCUGAUAAAGCUCCUUCAACGGUAGUUUUUCUCUCGUGAAUCUUCUCUAAUCCUAGGCUUGCAAGGCAUGCAUCACUUCUGCCGAAGAGAUAUUGGACAGAUUCUUCGUAAUUUCCAAAGUGGUUAUUGAUGCAUGCUUAACAUCUCUCGCACUAUAACUAUAAUUUUUUCAACAAUUAUGGAUUUUGCAAAUAUAGUAUCCAACAAUCUAACCUUAUUAGCAAUGCCAAGUUUUCUGUUUGAAUACCCUUUAAUUGUCUUGAUUCAUCUUUUGUACCUCAAAUUCCUUCAUCAGGUUUAACACUUGCAUGCCACAAAUAUAUUCAUCCCCUUCAUACUCUUCCUUUAAAUAGUCCCAAUUUUCUUUGGGUGAAUUAAGAGUCAUGAUCAUGGUGAAGAUCAUUAGAGAAACACCAACAAAUAGGCAAGUCUUUGCCUUAUUGGUUUUUUUUCCUCCUUGUGAUGCUUUAUUUAGGUCAUGGUGAAAUUUUUAGGCAAAGACAUUUCAUAAUCCUCUUUCACAACAUUCCACAAAUCAAAAGACUUUAUGUAGAACUUUAUUUUCACCUUCCAAAGGUCAUAACUCUUUCCAUCAAAGACAAGAAAAGCAAUUUGCAAGAAACUAGAUUUAAUAUUCAUUUCACAGGUUCCUCAAGAAAAAAUGUAAGAGAGAAAGAAAAAAUAAAAAAUAAAUAAUAGAGAAGAAAGUGAGUUUAAUUUGGAACAACUAACACAUUUUUUUUUAUGAAUAAACCUUAUAUUUAAAUAAAUGAAUAAAAAAUCAUGCUCCAUUUUGCUUACUAAUAAUUUAAAAAUAGAAUCAGAAACUAAUUUAAAAUUUGAAUUCAAACUCACUUAUUCACUAACAAGAUAAUAACUAACUCAAAUGAAAAAUCAAAACAUUCUAAGUAUAAAAAUAGAAUAAAAUAUUAAAAACUAUAAACUAACAUUUUAAAAAGUAUAGCAUUUUUAAAAAAUGUAAUGUUAAAAACUAUUAGAAAAUCUUGUUUGUUGGACACACAAAUAAUUUUUUUUUAAAAUGCUAGAAAUUAAUAAAAAAAUAUUAAAAAUUAAUUGAAAUCACUUGUUAAACAUAAUUUAAAUAUUUCAAUAUCUUCUUUUCUUCUCUUUAUUUCUAGAUAUCCAUUUGAUACAUUGCAUGAUUUACAUGUAAGUAUCCAAAAAAUUAUUUUUCAAUUUCCCAAAAAUAAUUUAUCUUUGUUUUUAUUUUCGAUUUAGAUUAAAUUUUAAUUUUGACCAUCCUUUAAUUUUUUAUUCUGAACUUGGGUUUUUUUUUUGUUAUUUUAAUCCCAUGUUUUAGCAAAUUCACAACUAUAUAUAAAUAUAUAUAAAAUUGAGAAUUUAUCAAUAUUGUGAAAUAAUUUAAUCAGUUAAAAUGUAAAAAUAAAAUAAAUAUAUGAAAAAUUUAAAAAUUGAACUAAAAUUUCAAAUUUUCUAACAUGAGAGAACUAAAAUCUAAAAAAAGAGACCAAAAUUUUGGAUGAGGAAUUAAAGGGAAAUCCAAAUGAUAAUUUGACCAUUUUUUAAUCUGCUUAUAGUUUUUUAUCUACCCUCUUUUAUGUCUAUGUACAAAUUGAAUUUUAAUAAUAUUUUAAAAAUUAUCAAUAAUUAGAAAUAACCUUCAUUGUUCAUUUCAAUAAUGUUCUAAAAGAAAUUGUCAAUAGUUAAAACAUUUUUAAAGAUGUUUAUUUAUUAUGAUUUUUAAUUAUAUACAGAUAAAUAUUUAUCUGUAUAUUUCAUAAAUUAAAAUACUAAUUUUUAUUUAUUUAUAUAUUUUUUAUUUAUCUAUAGUAUAUAAUCAAAUAAAUACAUCAAAUGAUAAAAUAAAGUGUUUAAUAUAUUAAAGAGAUUUUUAGUUAAGUCUUAAAUGUUUAGUUUAAAAUAUUAAAUGCACAUUUACUAAUUUCCUUUUAGAUUUUAAAGGAAUUCGUCGGUGUAAAUUCUAUUUUAGACUAAAUAUUUAACCCUUACAUUGGAUUUGACGGUUUAAGAUAAUAAAUAUAGAAAUCGAAUGCAUUUAUCAAAUUAUAAAUAAAAAAAAUGAUUUUUUUUAUAAUAAUUUAUACAAUAGUAACAUUUUUGUAUCUAUUUCUCUUUUGCACAUAAUUUAUUAUAUGUGAUAACGAAGAGACAUAAAUAAAAAAUAAUUUUAUAUGAAUUACUGUAUAAAUUAUUAUAUUUGUAUUAUAUAUAUGAAUAAAAUAUUUAAUAUAUUAUGAAUUCAAAAACUUAUUUAUUAUGUCUUAAAAUAUUUAGUUAAAUAUAUUAAAUGGUCUUUUAUUAAUUUCCUUUUAGAUUUAAAGGGAUCCAUGGGAUAAAGCAUAAAUUUUACACAAAUAUUUAACGCUUUCAUUUGAUUUGACAGUUCAGUAUUUGCACAAUUGAACGAAGCAAGAAAGAGGUUCAUGGAUUUAUGAAGGAAAUAUGGAAUCAGUAUUUAAUAAAGAAAUAAAAAUAAAAACGAAGUACAUUUAAUAUUAUAAAUUCAUUUUCAAUACAUAAUUUACAGCUUAUUUGAAUAAUAUAAAAACAUAGGAGUAUAUUUUUUAUUAAUAAAUAUUAAUGGUUAAUUUUUAAUUUUUUUGAUAGAUUAAAUUUGUCAUUUUUUUAUUAACUACUCAAUUAAUCUUAUAUAUAUAAAAACUACUUAAUAUGUUAGCAUGCGUUAACUAACAUGAUAGUAUUGAUUGUAAAAAUGUGCUUAAAUUUUUUAAAUAAGAUUUUAAAUUUAAUCUUAUAAAUAAAAAAUAUAAAAAAAUUCACUAAAAAUUAUUUAAAUUUGCUGAUAAAAUUAGUUAUCAAUAAAAAAAAUGUGAAUAAACCAUAGUGCACUAAUAAAUUUCCCGGACAGCAUUAAAAACUAAUCUUAAAGAAAUAAAAUAAAAUUCUUUAAAAAAAUAUAGUUUAGUAUAGCUUUUAUUCUCUUUCCACAUAUUAUCACUCAAGACUAAGCCGACUCCAGAGAAUAAACAAUUCUCCUUGUGAACAUUAUCAUUUAUCAAAUAAUUAAGAGAUUUUGCUGUAAUGUAAUCGGAUGACAUUAAAUAAAAGUUGAAAGAGUGUUGUAAAAUCUGUAAAAAUUAAAAAAGUAUUAAUUGUACAAUCUGUAAAUAUUAAAUUCAGUAUUCUGUCGAUUUUCUUUUUGGUGACAUAUUCUGUAAUAUAUGCAACUUACAGAAAGAAACUCACAUAUAUUGUUUAAAUAAAUUACAAAUUAUUAGUACUUACUAUGAAAAUAUGUUAUUUUUAUAUCACUGUUAUUUCUAUCAUAGAGUGUCGCUAAUAAUGACUAUCCUACGAAUACAAGUGAUUUUCCACCCUACUGACCUUGAUAUCCUUAUUUUCGACUAUUAGUUUUUUUAUCCAUAUUUUCCUAUUAGUUUUUUAGGCUAUUAGUUUUAUCUAAUUUAUAUUUCCCGACACAAAAAUCCUUGAAGUAUAUAUUAUUUAAAAGUUAAUAUAUAAAAUAUUUUCAUUGGAAAUUAAAACAAGAUGAAUACUGUCAAUUUUUUUUAACAUUUGAUUCUUUUACUAAUAUCCUAAAAACACAUAAAUGAAUUUCUUAUGUUGAAUUUUUAAUAUAUAUAUAUAUAUAUAUUUGAUAAAAUAUGUGAUUUUUAUUAAUCAAACUGUUAAAUUAUAUUUAUAUAUUAUCAAGAUCGUUUAUGUUAAAUUUUAUCAAAGUUGAACAACAACAACUAAAUAAUUAAAUGAUUAAUAUAUUAAAAUAUUUUGAAAUAUUUAUAUUACAUCAAUUUUAAUUUAUAUAAAUAAAAUAAAAAAUGAAUUUGAAUUAAUAUGAAAUUUUAUAUAUGUGAUUUAUAUGAAAUAAAUUUUUAAUUGAAAGUGAAUUUUAUGAAAAUAUUAUUCAAUUGAAAAUUAUAAAAUAAUAUAAUAGUUGUGAAAGUUACAUCAGUGUAAUUUUUUUUUUUUCAUUAUGUAUAUAUUAUAUAAAAGAAAUUAUUGUGCAUUUUUCUAUUUUUUUAAAGGUACACAAAAUUUAUAGUUAAUGUCAUUUUAAUCAUUUUUUUUAAAUUUUUCAUUAAAAAUAUUAGUGUUAUGUUAACUUUUAAAUUUUAAUAUGGUUUAAUGUAAUUUUUGGUUCAUUAUAUUUUACUGUUAUUUUUACUUCGAUACAUAAAGUUUUAGAAAUUUUAGUUUGAUCUUUUAUAUUUUUAAAAUGUUCAUUUUGAUUUUUUUUAAAAUUUAAAAGUUAACAAAAUAUUAAUGUUUAUAAAAAAUUGAAAAAAAAAUAUAUUUCUAAAACAUAUAGAAUUUAAAUAAAAUUUAAUAUAUUAAAAACUUUUAAUUACGAAAUAAAUCAAAAGUCCCGUUAAGUCCAAAUUAAUUAAUAUGAACCCACCCAUUUAAUUUAAUCUCUGAGAGGUUCACAGAAAAUGUUCUCAUGAUAUGUUCAUGCCAAUUCACCAACCUCAACCCAUAUUAAUUUUAUAAUAUAUAUAUAUAUAUAUAUAUAUAUAUAUAUAUAUAUAUAUAUAUAUAUAUAUAUAUAUAUAUAUAUAUAUAUAUAUAUAUAUAUAUAUAUAUAUAUAUAUUGUUUUGCAUUCACCGACUCCCAACUCAUAUUAACGUUUUUCCUUUGAUUAGUUUAUAAUAUUAAAUAUUUUUUUUGUUUUGCAAUUAAUGAGUGCCUAUACAAUAUUCUCUCUCUUCAAUAAAAUUAUUAAUCAUAUUCAACAAUUAAAUUGAAAAAAUUCAUGGUCAAAUAUUGGAGUGAAAGUUACAUUGUACCAAUUAACCAAGUCUGAGCUAGAUAAGAAAUCUUAAACAAACGUUACCAGAUCUUCAUGCGUUAUAAGCACAACCUUUGACUUCUACAUCCCAAAUUAUUAUACUCACUUCAGCACCAUAGAUUGGCCGUGGAAGAAUUAUACUCUCUGCUUCAAGGUCAAACAAAUAUGGUACCACCAACCAUGUUGUCCACUCAAGAAGGCACGUCGAGGAAUAUGACUCAAUUUGACUCAUCAGUGAUACUCCAUCACCUUGUGAAUCUACAGGUUGGGAGUUCUUCUCAAGGGCCAAGGAACAAUUUGGCUUGUUGUUCAUCCCAAAAAUGUCACAUCUCAUUGGUAUUAGAGGGAAUACUUGAUGAAAAAUACAUAGAAGAAUGUCUAAUCCCAUCCAAAAUAUUGUCGCACAAACAUGAGCCCUAUGCAAUGUACGUGCCAUCUAUGGUAAUUUACUUCUUACAAUAAUAAUAUACUCAAUUUUAUUUUUCCAAUCGUGAAAUUUUGUGGCAGGAAUGAGAAUGAUCGAAGACAACAUGGAGGGCAUCGUAGUUUGAGUGAAAUAAUUCGUAGAGGGAAGAGUGUAUAUCGAGGAGUAAUCAAGUAUAUGAUUCUAUUUGAAAUUAAGCUAUUGCUUACGUUUGUGUUCCAAUUUUUUGUGACCUUAAUGAGAGGUAAAAUUAAUUUUGAUUGAUUAUAUAGGUGCAACUACCAGCGUUUCGAAGCAUUUGUGUGGGAUAACUCCGAUCCAGGGAAGAGAGGAAGACCAGGUUGAAAUAGCCUUUAUCAAAAUAUAAAAAGCUUUUCAAUUCUCCAUUUAUUUGCUACCUAAAACUACUCACUAACUUGACUUUAUUAACUUUUACUUGUAUAUAUUCCUGGAUCUUCUUCAACUAUUGCAGUUUAUGUGGGUAAGUACACAUUUUUUUUUUGACAGAAAAGUACACAGGUUUUUUCUAUUCCAAAUGCUGCUUAUAUUAAUGUUAAUAGCCGAAGAUAAAAUCAUGGUUUUCCUCACAAUUGAAAAACACAUAUGUAGGAUUUUCCAUGUGAAUCUUUCUUUUCUUGUUUUGUUUUUCAUUGAUACUAAUUGGAUUUUUUUUUUCUUCGUCUGAGUUGGCAGGUGCUUAUUCUACUGAAGUUGACGCCGCCAAAGCCCAUGAUUUAGUGUCGGUGAAGAUUGGGGGCUUAAAUGCAUUAACGAAUUUUCCUGUAUGUCAUCGUAGAUAGAUUUAUGAAUUUCAUUGCAAAAACAUUUUGUGGCGGAUUUUGAUUUAAUUAUUAUUAAUUACUUUAAUUCCAUCUCAUAAACAUACUGUUCUUCGUAGGUGAGAUGCUAUUCGAAGGAAAUGGACGAGAUGCGAUGGAUGAGCACAAGGGAUUAUAUUUCAGCUGUUAGAUGGUAAGAUGUGAAUUGUGUGUAUGUGUUAUUAUAUGUGUAUCAUGUGCUUUACAUGUAUAUAUGCGUAGUUGCAUUAAGUUACAUUAUUAAUCAUGUGUUAGUUGCAUAUAAAUACUUAACAAAAUCCGAGUAAUGUGUAAGAUCUACUUGGUAAAUAAAAUUGAUCAACAUGACUUAUUUAGUGAGUCGUAUCAUUCAAGAAAGAAGUUCUAUAAAAUUAAAAUUAUAUAUAAUAAAUUUAUGUAACUUCAACAAGUUAAAACUAUUGACAGUAUUUCUUAUUUUUCAAACUAACUAUGCAAAAUUGGUUCUUAUCAAAAUAAGAUUUUAAUUUGUUCUUGUGAUGCAUAGCAUUAAAGGAAAUUACUGAUAAAUACUGUUAUCAAAUUAACAUUUGCAAUUAUAAUAAAACAGACUUAUAUUUUAACUAAAAAAUUCUCUUAUCAAGAAUCAUAUGUAUCACGACAUUAUUAAUUUCUGAUAUAAUAAGCUGUAAGACAUUCCUAAUCUUUGAUCCAGGACAAUAAAAAUAAAUGUUAUUAACCAUUUUUCUUUUUUAAAAUGUUGAACCAUUGGUAUGAGUUCAUAAUUAAGAUAAAGAAAGUAGUCAUUGAUUCCAUGAAAACUUGACAAAAUUUCAGGACGGGCAAGGACUAUAGUGACGGUGACUCUCCUUACCGUGGCGUCUACAGGUUUGCAUUUUCUCUUCUUUCUCUCUUUCAUUAAUUUAUUAUUAUUAUUCUUCUUCUCUCUUUCACUUUCUCUCUCUCAUUCCUAUCAGAUCAUACAUGGUCCCAAUAGGCAAGAAAUGGGAAGCGAGGCUGGGUCGUGAGGGUUCACCAAACUUGCACUUGGGAACUUAUUGUGAGUUCAUAUUCCAACUCUUCCAAUUCAUUUUCUAAUUUAUGGCAUGCACACAGUGAAUAGUAUUUAAUUAGCAUCAACAUGUAUAAUGUAUGUCAACUAUAUGUUAGUUAUUAAUGUACAUAAUCAAUGGAAUAUGUUUGCACAUUGUAGUAAAAUAUAUCAUAUGUUGGCCUUAGUUUAAUGUAAGACAUAUGUUUCUCUACUUCAGACACUCCGGAGGAUGCAGCCAGAGCUUUUGAUAUUAUUUCAAUAAAAAUAAAGGGAAGGGACGCCAUUACCAAUUCCGAUUUGAACAGUUAUGAGGUGGAUGGCAUUAUGAAGAGCCAAAUUACAACAGCAAUGGAUGGGUCGAUUACUUUGAAGGUAGAUGGAGUCGACAACGAAACUGAAGCAUAUCCCCCUCAAACUCAAAGCGUAUUCCAGCACAAUCAUCAACAAUUCAUCAACUCAUCAUCCUUUUCUCGUCGCUAUCAAAACCACAAUCUCUUUUCAAGCAACCCUUAUGCUCUUGGUGGUUUUAUUGGCGGUGUUGGAAGUAGUGGCAGUGGCAAUGCAUAUGGCAAUUCAAUUGUUAACCUUGCAGCACAGACUGCACAGUUUACAAAUCAGAAUGAUACACUGCAACAGCCACUUCAGACUCAGCAGAGCCAAGUGAAUGUUAACAAUUUCAAUCAGAAUAUACGCAGCAACAACAUCAACAACAACAACAAACAGUUUCUGUCUCAGGAUUCUAACCGUUCUGUGCUUUCUCAUGCCCCCCAAAAUCUUAAUUUGGAUAAGUGUGUCCCUUUCCCUGAUUGGCCAUCUGGUUUUGGCUUGCUAGGGGGGAACUUGGAAUUGGAACCUUUAAGAAAUAUUAAUUCCCUGAAUGUGCAACCUCUAGAACAAGUCAUGGUGAAUGAAAGUACAGGAGCAACAAACGGUGUUUCUUCAUUAGGGACACAAAUCCAACCAGUGGAACCAUCUAAUCAGGAAUUUGGAGCUACACAGCUACCGUUUCUUGAAGUGAACCAAAGUUUUGAGCCUUACAACUUCCAAGCCAAUACUUUGAACCAGAUACCACAUGGGAACUUAAACUCCAGCCUUUCUGAUAGUUUUCAGAACCCUAGUUCUGAAACAAACAACAAUGGUUCCCCAGGUGAGACCAGUGGAUGUCCAAUUGAUUUGGACAUGAGAGAUUAUCUCAACAGAUCUUAUAUAGAAGACAAAGAUUUUGCUUGUGAUUUUGACAUGUUUGGAGCAUUAGUGAAUGAGGAUAGACAAGGCCUCUAGUACUGCUACUAACUGCAGGCUUAGUUUAUAUAAUAAGAACAUGUUAGUUUUCAUUAGUCAUUCAAAGCAUGGUGCAACUUUGGCUCAAAUAAUGAGGUUUGAAUAGGUGAAUAUGAUUUAGAAUUAGUCUUGAGUCAAGUUUCUCAAAACUCAGAUUUUUGUAACCUAUGAUUGAGACUUGUGAUGAUAGACGAAUCCGGCUAGAUGGUUAAUUUUAUCUUAUCUUAAUAAAUUUGGAUUGUGAACAUUGUUGUUUUCAAGAGUCUCGUGAAAUUAGGUUCAAUUUGAAAAUUUCUGAAUUAAUUAAUAAUUUAAUUAUCGUCUUAAUCUCUAUAUUUAGAAGUGUAUUUUUUUUAGUCUCUAAAAUUUAAAAUAUUUUUUUAAUUUUUGAAUUUUGAAAAUUAUUUUUUAAUCCUUUUGAUAUAUUGAUAUUUUAUGAUGAUUUUUAAACACUUUGUAAUAGUAUUCAAAUGUAAAUCUAAGGGACUAAAUUGCUUCUCCCUAAUUAGGAGCAUAAUUGCUUCUCGUUCAUUUAGAUAUUGGCAACAAAAUUUUGGUAAAUCUGCGAAUGGAUUCAUAGGUAUAUGAAUGGCUAACUAUUGUAGUGAAGUUAUAAUUAAAAAUAAAAUAUAUCAUAGAUAUAUAAUUUAUAUCGAGGUAGUUUAUUAAAUAUAUAGUUAUUAAAUUUUUCUGAUCAGGAAAAAAAAUAGUAAGAUCUAAAAUAAAUUUUGAUAGACACUUUUUUUUUAUUUUAAAUGAGAGUUAUAUAUUGAAUAUUUUUAUCAACAUAUAUGAUUUUUUACUUUAUAAAAGUUAAUAACAAAUAAAUAAUUUGUUUGUUGAUGGAUCUAAAACUUGAGAGUCUUUAUCCUUAAGCCGACCUGCCUAUCUUAAGGGCGUAUUAGAUGAAGCAAAGAUCACUGCAGGGUCUAUGACACAGCUCACCAAUUUCAUUAGCCAAAUUGAUUAUCUCUCAAAAUGAAAUAUAUUGGGAUGGGGAUUUUCUUCACCAACUGGCUUCUGUUAUUUUUUCUGAUGUACUGCAUAUUUCAGUUGAAUAAAGCCCAAUUCAUUUCUAAAAAAUAUCUCAAAUAUGUUAAUAUUAUUUUUUAUAAUGUUGGUAAAAUAAAAAUAUUAUUAUCCGUUGCUUUUAAUGUCAUUCAAGCAUUUAUACGUAUUUUUAUAGAUCCUUUAAAUAUGUAAAUAAUCUAAUUAUGGAUCUUAUCAACAAUAUGAUUUAUAUAGAAGUGGAUAUGUGCUACUACUCCAAAGAUGUAAUGUUGAUAAUUUUCAUCUCCCACUAUUUACUUACAAUUUUGUAUAAAUACUUAGUCAAUCAUGUCUACUUAUGAUUUAUAGUCAAUGUUGAUUUAUCGUUGAUUUGUAGACAAUCAUGCAUCGCAAAUCUCAAUAUAUGUAUAUUAUAUUAAUUUGAAUUUUAUAUUUAAAAUAUACUUAACAAAUUAAUUUUUAAAAUGAUAAUAUAUAUAUAUAUAUAUAUAUAUAUAUAUAUAUAUAAUUACACACAGAGUCAUUUAAAAAUGUAUAUGCUUAAUCUACAUAUAUUAUCAUUAAAUUUAUUAAAUUAAAUAAAUAUAUUAAUUUAUUAGCAUCCAACACCUACUCUUAAUCCAUAUCAUUAUAAAAUCUGGUUAAUAAAGUAACAGUGUUACCCCACUUGUUAUCGGUUUUUCUCUCUGUCAUUUUUAUUUAUGUUAUUAAUGUAUUUCUUUAUUUUUUUAUUAUCUAAAAUUCAAGGGUACGGUAAAAGUUGUGCCACGUGAUCUGAAGGCAAUAGAUGUGUUUUUUGGAUUAUAAUUAGAAAAGUUGAUUUAAGUUGAAGUUAACUUUUUAAACUAAAAUUGAGUGAAAAGUAAGUUAAAUAUAAGUUGAUUGUGGUUUGAUACGUGUAUUUCAAAAAUAUUUUUAUCAUAAUUAAACUUGUUUGGAUAGUAAUAAUAAAAAUGACGUUCAAAUGUGUAAUGAAUAAAAUGAACAUAAAUUUAAUUUAAUUUAAUUUAUUAUUUAAAGUAAAUUAUUAUUAUUAUUAUUAUAAGACUCCAUUUCUUCCAUUGCUAGAAAAUGACAAAGGCCACACUCACCGUCCUCCUUGAAGAAUGGAACCCAGCCACAACACACUAACAAAAUGAUGGUAACGAUGGUACUCUUUGUAAACAAAAUUUCCGUUGGAAACCGAUAUUAAAAAGAAAAGAAUCACCCUAUAAAUUAAAGGCUCUUUCUCCCUUAUAUAUACACCUACGCAAAACUGCAAGGGGCAAUGUUGUCUUUUACAGAAUUACAGCAUGUUGAAGCUUAAAAUCUAAAAUUAAUGUCUUUGGACAAGAAUCACGUCCAACUCAACGGGAAACAAAAUUUGCCAAACAACUUGGUCCACCAUUCCAUCAAGCCUCAACGGACGUUUGGAAAUACACCCUAAGUCUCCAAAUACUUUACGCAUGUUUGCUCUCGAAGCUUCACCUACGUUUUCACUGAAUCAUAAAAAAUAACAUAUUUAACCAUGUGAUUAUUUGACUGAAUCAUAAAAAUAAUUUAUCUUUAUUUUCACAAUUCAUAAUUGUUUUCAUUAUUAUAAAUAAUGAUUUUUUUAACAUUUCAAUUAUUUAUUAUAAAUUAAAAUAAUAAUAAAUUAUUAUUAUAAAAAUUAAAAUUAUGUAUUAUCAAUAUCAGCAUAAAAAUAAGUUAUAAAUAUAAUAAAGAUUCAUUGCUCAGAAUUUGUUGACUAAAUUCUAAUUUUGAUUUCUUUUAAUUCUUAAUUUGCUGUGAUUUUUGGUCUUCUUUUUUUAAAAAAUUAUAAUUUUGAUUUAACUUUUAAUUUUGUGAUAAAAUAAUAUAUACAGAUUUGAGAUUGAUUCAAAAUUGUGGAUUUUUUGAAAUAAGAGAAUCCAAAUUGCAGAAAAAUCAAAAUUACAGAUUAAGAAUUAUGAGAAAAAAUUUAGUCAAAUUUUACUUGAUUAAUUAACAUAUUAUAUCAAGCAUUAACUUCUUUUUUUUUUGUAAAAUUAAUCUUUUAUUUUACUUUCUUAAAGAAUAUUUAAAACAAUAAUCAAAAUACAUAUAUUUAGAUAUUAAAUUAUGUGAUAAUUAAUUUUUUAUUAAUUAGUUAUUAUAUAUUUUUUAGUAAUUUUUAAUAUGAAAAUUCAUAAUUAAAAGAAUAUGUAUUACAUUUAAUACAUCUAUAAUAUAUACAGAGAGAGAGAAAAGAGGGGAAGAAUACUCACUAUUCACAAAUUUGUCUUUAGUUACAGGUUAUAAACUACAAUUUUGAUUUUCCUUAAGUCUCUAAUUUUCGUCUUUUGUUUUUUUUCAUAAUUUUAGUUAAAUCUUUAAUUUUUUAUGUUUAUUUUUUUUAAUUUCAUCCAAUUAAACUUUAAAUUUAACAUAUUUAUUUGAGGUACUAUAAAAAAUAAUUUAUUUGAUUAAAAUGUUAAAAAUAAAAAAUAAACAUAUUAAAUUAAGGAUAAAACUUUUUCAUUUCUUAACUCUUCAAUUCAUUAAUUUAAAUUUCGGUCAAGAGAUAAAAAAAAUCUAAUAGUAAAUUAUUUUGCUUAAACAUCAAACUUAAAUAAUAUCUAAAUAAUUCAAUCUUAAUUUUAAUAUUAAUUAUUUAUAUUUAAUCAUUUAUUGGACUUUAUAUGCAUAAACAAAAGAUUCUUAUUGGAUUUUUUUCAUUGAAGUUCACAAGUGGUCAUUCGACUGAAAUUGACGCCGCUAGAGUUCAUAAUCUGGUUUCAAUUAAGAUAGGGACUUAACUACAUGGACAUUGUUUUUUCUGCAGAUUAAUAUCGUGAAUAGAUUCAUGAAUUUCAUCAGUAAAAAAAAAUUAUGAAUUGUCGUAAAUUUUGAUUUAAUUAUUAUUAAUUAAUUGAGUUCCAUCUCAUAAGCAUACUAUUAUUCAUCGGUGAGAAAUCAACCAAAUGCAAAGUAUGAGCAAAAUCAGUUAUAGUUUUACUGUUAGAAGGUAAGAUGUGAAUUCUUUUUAUAUGUUUUUUUAAUAUUUGUUUUUAUAUGUUAUAUCUUCUUAUAGUAUUCUUAUGUAAGGAUACUAUCAUGUAAGGCCUUCAGACACCCUUUUAUAAAAAAAAUUAUCCUUAUGUAAUAUUCUUAUGAUACUUUGUAGAAAAAUUAACAAAUAAAAAAUAAUAUAUUUUGUUUAAUAAAAUUUUCUCUCUUUUGAUCCGUGAAUAAAUUUCCGUAUUAUAAGAGAAGAAAAUAAAAAAAAAAACAAGUAAAAAAUAAAAAAAAAAACAAGUUUUUCCCGCAAGUUAAAUUAACUUGUGCACUUGAUUGUUAAAGAAGUUCUUUUAUCCAACUUUUAUAAAAGUCAUAGUGCAUAGCUAGAUUUUAGCUUAAAGAAAAACUUUAAUUUAUUUUAUCUUUUUAUUUUUUUUCUAUAAUUGUUUAUAUAGAAAUUUAUUUAAAUAGAUCAUGUUUAAUAUCUUGAAAACAUAACCAAUCUUCUUUUAUUUAAUAAAUAAGAUAAUUUAUAGAAAGAUAUGAUAGGAGGAAGAAAGAUUUUCUUAUAUUAUUUUUUUGUUUUGGAGAGUUGUUCCUUUUUUACCGCUUGUUUUGGAGAGUUAAACUUUGAAUUAUAAUCAUUAACAUAUGAAUUACUUUGAGGAAAAAUGACACAUUUCGUAAAAAAAAAAAAAUAUUUUGGAGAGUUAAAACUUUGAAUUAUAAUCAUUGACAUGCUAACUACUUUCAAGAGAAAAGGCACAUUUUGUAAAAAAAAAAUGUUUUGAAGAGUUAAAACUUUGAAUUAUAAUCAUUGAUAUAAUAACUACUUUAAAAAAACGACACAUUUCGUAAAAAAAAAUAAUGUUUUGGAGAGUUAAAACUUUAAAUUAUAAUCAUUGACAUAUUUACUAACUAACAACACAUCUCAUAAGAAAAAAUAAUGUUUUGGAGAGUUAAAACUUUAAAAUAUAAUCACUACAUGUUAACUACUUUUAAGGGAAACUGCACAUUAUGUAUCAGAUACACAUAAUCAUUAAUAUUACUUUAAUUUAAUUUUAGAUAUUAAUUUAUUAUAUAUGAAAUUAAAUUAAGUGAAGGAAAGCCAUGUAGUUCCACUUAUGCAGAGGAUCAAAUCCUACUAUAUAUAUAUAUAUAUAUAUAUAUAUAUAUAUAUAUGUAUAUAUAUAUAUAUAUAUAUAUAUAUAUUAUGCUUGUGUCUUUCCCACCCCAUCCCCAAACACAAACACAAGAGUUCCCCUCACCUGUGAAGUCCAAGUUUUGUUUUGUUUUUGUUUUUGUUUUUUCUGUUUACCCUAAGGUGUGGAAUAAAUUGUUGCUCCUUUGUAUUUGUUUGUUUAGCAUGGACAAGGCAAAUAAUUCUUUAAACAUGUUCAACUAUUGGUAUGAGUUCAUAAUUAAGAUAAAGUUUGUCUCUCUCUCUCUUUGUUAAAUUAAGAUAUAAGACAAUCAUGAUUGCAUGAAAACUUGACAAAAUUUCAGGAGCGGCAAUGGCUAUACUGACAGCGUCUCCCCUUACCUUGGCGUCUAUAGGUUUGCAUUCUCACUUCUCUCUCUCUUCUAUCUGAAACUGCAGGAUCUCGGAGAACAGGAAAUGGGUAGCGAGGCUCGAUCAUGUGGGUCUGCCAACGAUCAUGUGGGUCUGCCAACCUUGCAAUUGGGAUUUUUUUGUGAGUUCAUAUUCCAAGCUAAGUCUUCCAAUUCAUGGCUUACUACUGUGAAUUGUUAAGCAUCAACACAUAUGCAUGUCAACUGUUAGUUAUUAAUAUAGUCUUAAAAUACUUUCUCUCUUUUGCACUUUAUAUUAAUUAAAAUUUAUUAAGAAUUACAAAAUCUUAAAACGGACUCAUUGUAUAAAACAUAUAAUUUAGUCCUACAUGUUGUGAAUUUUCAUUUUAAUCCCUGUACAUAAAAAAAUAUUAAAUCAAUCCUUACAUGUAUAAAUAUGACCGAUUUAAUCCUUAUCAUAUAUGGAUAGUUAACUUGCUUAUGUAUUAUUAAUUUAGUACAUAUACAUUCUUAGUUUAGUUUAGUUCUUAUAUGUGUAGUACAUUCUAAACUUACUCCUUACAUAUUCAUAGCACGCAGGUUCUUAAUUCAUUUUUAUAUGUAUGUUUAGUGUGUUUUUAAUUCAACCCUACAUUAAGGUAUUAAAUUAAGAAUGUGUUAUAUAUAAGGACUAAAUUAAAAAUGUACAAGGGAUUAAUGGUGACUGAGACCAAAUAGAUAAUAGUGUUUACCUAUAUAUGGACCAAAUUGUAUUUUUAACCUUAAAUAAAAGUGAAAUCACUACUAGAAAAGAGACUUUCUACAUCGGUUAUCACGCGUCGUUGUAACCCGGAGUCGUUGAAACACAACGACGGUUAAAUGAUCGAUGUUGAAUUUUGACAUUCUACAUCGGUUAUUAGGACAACCGAUGUAGAAAUCUGCCCAUUUUAAGACGGGCUAGUCUCCAAACCCUUCUUUAAAUGCCAGAUUUCUACAUCGGUUGUCCUGACAAACGAUGUAGAAUGAUCAUCAUUCUACAUCGGGUAUGUACUGAACCGAUGUAGAAUGCUAGACAUUCAACAUCGGUCAUUCUAAUAACCGAUGUAGAAUUCUAGACAAUCAGAGUGAAUGUUACUAGAAUGAAUGUUUUUUAAGCCUAUCAAACAAGUUUAAUUCAAAUGGCACGUCAUAUGUCAACCCUACAGAAUUUACCAGGGCCUUCAACCUUUCUUGUGUCAAAGAAGUAAUUUUAAGACAAAGAUAAGGGAUCCUUGAGAAGAAAGAAAUACAAAAUAAAGAAAAAGAAACGCAACAACAAAAGAAGUCGCCCAAUCCCUCUGCAUCUGUUGGAACGAAAUACAAAAAGAAAAAGAAAAGCAACACCAUAGUACUUGCACCAAAUAGAAGUCAAUCACCUAAGCUUAUCUCAGAUUGCACAUUGUUUCACUCCAACCAGGUUGCACAAAGUACUUGCACCAGAUUGCACAUUGUUGCACAAAAAGAAAAGCAACACCAUAGUACUUGCACCAGAUUGCACAUUGUUGCACAAAAAGAAAAAUAAACCUCCUUAAAAAUACAUGUUUCACUCCAACCAAAUGCAUAGAUUGCUCAUUGUUCAGUCCCUCAAGCUCAUGCAAAGAUGGGAAAUUACAGAUAUUUACAUUCUUUCAAUUUGCAUUCAAACAAACACAAACACACAAUAUAUUAGGUGGAACAAUGUAAUAUUAAUUUGAAUAUUGAUUACAUAUAUACUAUUUUCCAUGAUGAUAUAAUAACUUGCCUUGUGAGAAAUUCCUUUCAGCAAAAAUGCUUGCAUGGUUCCAUUCUUUUCUCUCUUCACAUACUCCAAAUAAUUCGUAUGAAUUAUCCCUAUAACUAGCCUGAAUUUAGUCUUCCAUCUUUUCCCAUGGUGAUACCAUGUCAAGUGCUCGGGCUCCUCUAGAACAACAAUAUCUGCAACUUUGUCAGGGAUAAUCUCCGAAAUAUCCCCAACAGCAAGAAUGCUCCUUUUAUCUCUAGAAAACUGCAUUAUAAGUAUAGAAUAAGUUAGCACAACUGACAUAACAAUAAGGUUUGGAUGAAACAGAAAUAACAGGAUUCUUAAGAGUAAAAGCUGAUAGAUGCUCAAAUCUAUGACCAAAUAGCUUACAUAAAAGCAUAUUGGUAUAUUACCAUUACAUUUAUAAUGGAAGUUUGCAAAUUCCCAUUGAAAACCUCAUUAUCAAAUCCUUUACUAAAAUGACAUUUCUUUCAUUAUGGCUAAACUUAGACUAUGGCCUUUUUUACACAAAAACAGUGAGUUAAAUGAGAGAUAACAUAAGAAACAGAGAAAAUAUUAGACAGAAGCUGAGACUCAAAACUAUUUAGUAGUGAGAAAUUUACAUAAAGUGUAAGCUCUGUAUAGGGCAUCGAUCAAAUACAUCUAAACGAUGCAGUUACCAAGAAUAGACAGACAGUAACCAACAACAGCUAACAGAUCACAUGGUGGCUACAACUAUCAGAACAUUUUACAGUUACAGCACAGUCCUAUAUACUCUAGUAGUCUUCAAUCUUCAUUCGGAAAUGUGCAUAUUUCUGUGUUUUUGGGGGAAAGCUUCCAAUUUUUCCUGUUAAUGGAAAACAUCAACCACAAGAAAUUAUCACCUUUCCAAAGCUUCCAAGACUCUUAAGUCUCAACACAACCUUCUCUGCUUCUCGUUCAUGUCUAAAAAUAGGCAAACCAUGACUUUAAUGUCAAACUGUUAAAUUUUUGUACCCAUCAUUUGUUUAAAUGGAUUCACUAAAAUUGUCCAGGAUGAAAAUCAUCUUCACUAAUCAUAUUCUAAUCUAAAAUUUCAAUUAGAAUAGUGAAAUUUCAUAUUAUAUGACAGACAUUUGUAUUACUGGGCAGAAAACUGGAUAAAAUAUUUGCACAAAAAAUAAGAUGAUAUGGGAAAAGACUUACCACAGACACUAGGAGGAAGAGUACCAAGGCUUAACUCAUCAAAAUCAAUCGCUUUGAUCUGAUACUUCCCAAUGUAUUCAGCAAAUAUAAUAUCGGUUGAGUCGUGCUUCUAAUAAUCUUACAAAUUGCCUAUACAUAAAAACGAAACACCAUUGAAGAAUCGUCCAACAAGAGCACAAACACACCCAUAUGGAAUCACUGAAAUUACAAUAUCGUGUCUAAGAAGGGCCACAUAUCCAACAAAAACUUGUUCAACCAAUCAACCUGAAUAACAUGCAAAAAUAAUAUCAAUAACACAAUAACAUCAUCAUCGUCGUCAUCAUAAACCUUAAAAAAACAAAACAAAACAAAACAAAACGUUUAAUUCACGAAACUAACUCGUUCACCCAGAGAGGAAUCUCGGGCAGAAGUUCUUGCAGAGCAUUUGGGCCUAAUUCACUGAUUGGCCUAACAACAGGGUCCUGCAACAUUGAAGAGAAAGAAAAAAAAAUCAAAUUUUGAUUAUCACCCAGAAUUCAAAACGCAAAAGGGGUGUUAACCCCAACACCAGCAGUCCCUGGAGAGUGAUCAGAAGAAAUGCAUGUGUCUGUGCUGAAAAUUUGAAUAAAACAGAACGAACAUGCAAUGAGUUGUUAUGUUAACCUUGACAUGUUUGGUUUCUGAGUAGACAAAGAGAAAGAACCCAACUAAGAGGCCAAGAGGUAUUCCAACGGCAAAACCAAAAAUCCCCAAGAAACUGCUCACGAACCCCAUAUGCUCUCUAUCCUGAGCAAGCCAUAGCUUGGCGUGUUCCACGCAGCGGUGCAGCGCGUUCUUGUGCGAAAAGCUCGAAUCCGCGGGCCGCGAAACGAGCAACCCUCUCAGUACGGAGAUCGAAUCCAAGUCCUUCUCGCCGAGCAGAUCGGUGACAUCGUCGAUGACGUAGUCGUAGGUCAAGCAGCAGCCACGCUCCUGCGUUCUGGUAAGCAUCAUGGAGCUACGGUGAGGGUGGAGGGCGAGGAUGGAGGGUGAUGGUAGGCUUUUGGGCUCCCUCCCGCAGAGCUAUGAAGCAGCUGAGGCGACAACAAAUGGGAGAAUGAGAGAGAGAGUGGCAUUUACCCGAUAAAGAGAGACAGAGAAAGUGAUAAAUUAUAUUAAUUAAAAAUAAUAAGCAUUUAAGACGGGUUUUCCGAAAACCGCCUUGUUUUGAAAUAUUCCAAGGCGAUUUUCAAAAAUCGUUUUUAAAAUAUUAACCAUAUUUACAACUUUGCCAUUGUGAUAUAAACAAAAACGGUUUUUUAUAACCGACUUAAAUACCCUGUUGUAGAAAACAGUAUUUUUAGUAGUGAAUAUAAUUCCCAAAAUUUACUUUUAAUAAAUUUUAGAGAAUAAUAGUAGAAAGUGCAGUUAAAGAGUAUUAGUAUUGCUCAUAUACAUCACCAAAAAAGUAUGCUUGCACAUUCUACUAGGUAUAUCAUGGUUUACAGAAUAAAACCUGGUUAGUUUUAUAAGUUAUUCUAUAAUAACAAUGGGGUUUGAACAAGUGUAUGUUUUAGAAUUAGUCUCAAGUCAAGUUUCUCAAACAAGGUUUUCUAUU
rnacentral:lncRNA from 1 species